rnacentral:lncRNA from 1 species
ACAUGGAUAUGAUGAAUAGUUGCUCUGCCAAGUACCUAGUUUUCAAAUUUGAGCUCUCUCUCAAGUUUAGGCAUAACUGUUAUAAUUUAAAGCUUGCUCUAAACCUGAAUUUGUGGGAAGAGUACCUGAUCAAAAGUCUAAGUCGUUAACAGAUAUGAUAUGGGAAGGUUGAGCCGCUGUUUAUCUAUUCCUAGAGAUGCUAGAAUUCUGGAGAAUUUUAUCUUUGAAAAUCUUUAAAAUGUUGCAUGAUGAGUUCCUGUAUGAUGAGAGUUUAAAAUCCUACCACAGCCAUAUAUACAAGCUUAUUAGACUAUGAACCAUACAUUUACUUUUUACUGCUUAUGAGCAUUGAUUGUGGUCAAGCUAUGUAGACCCUUAGGAGCUUGUCAUGCGGUUAAAAUCAAGAUUCACUUGCACGUUCACUCAUACAUGCUGCUUCUACUCCAGAAGUACGCAUCUACAUACAUCCACUCAUUUCCAUAUCCAGAUUCACCCAAAAUUAUUCUACUCCUAUCUAAGAGAGAAUAGCCAAAAACAUUAUCAUAUCUCUGUUAUUCCCCGUGAAAUAAAUGCUCGAGAUAUUUUGGUUACUACCACUUGCUACAUUAUUCCAGGAGGGUGAGUGCUCUGAAAAAGUGAAUACGAGGAAAUAAAAAGGGGCAAGUGCCUGAAACCUCGAAAAAAAAGAGAAAAAGUGAGACGAGAGGUAAAAAUGGACAAGUGUCCGACAGUAGAAUUAGGGGUACAAGAUACCCACCUGAGAGAAAAGGAAAAUAAAAUAUAGAGCGUCUCAUUCCCCUCAAAAGCCUCAAGUGCAAGAAAGGUAUGUACCCCCUCAAAAGAGUAAAAGUAGAAUUAGAUUUUCACCAUUAUUUUCACCAUUAUCAUCAUUCAUUCGCCACACAUGCACAUCUUGAUUUGACUUAUUGACUUGUUCUUCUGGAUCCAUGGUUUGACUAUGCAAUAAGUGUCUUGUAAGUAUGUAUUAGCUGUCUCCCACCUAUGAGCUCUAGAUAUCAAAACCUUAUUAGAGUAGGGUGAGAGAAAAGGCAAUACCACUACGCCUCAUACCAAAAAUACCACAUACUUUGAGAGAAGGCAUACACCAUUACUGCCUUGGUAAGGAUCCAGAAAUACCACAAAAGAGAGACUAGAGAGAGUCAUACAAGGAAUCUCUGAGUUUUAUUUGAAAAUCUUCAAAACUCCAGAGCUAUAGUUAAUCGAAGAACAAGAGACAUGGUGCUUGACUGGACCAUUCUAUCUUUUAACUGCUCAAGACAUAAGUGGCGGUUGCAUGCCCCAUGGUAGAAGAUAAAAUGAGUAAGUUUAAAUCUUAACAGUUUACCCUAACCUAGAGAUGAGAUAUUGUUUGAACGCAUGUGUACCUUCAAGGCAUGAAACCACUGCAGAAACUCUUAAGUCCAUCUUUGCUCAGGGACGAGCAAAGGUUAAGCUUUGGGGAGCUUGUUGACGGUCCUUCAUGUUCACAUUUAACCGUCAACUAAUUAUGAAAAAGGAUCCAAAUACAACCGACACCUAGACUUAGGGUUUCAUCUGACAGAUUUCCAAUGAGUUUUGGUGUUUGUCUAUUUCUGCAGGGGGUUAUCUGGAAAUACAAAGGAAAGGCCCACAUGUUGGGUUUACAUAGAGAAUUAAUGUGUGCGGUAACUUUCCAUAAUCAGGAGGACUCUAGAAGCAACUCGACCGAAGCGGAGCCGAGACGGGUCUAGGACCAGGGCGCCCACCAUUGAUCCUAGGGCGCCCGCCCUGGUACAAGCACCAUUACAAAGAUCUCAUUGAGCUGAUCGAAAUGCAUAUAUUAUUUGCUAUAUUUGGAGUUUGGAAUCAAGAGAUAUUAAUAAAAAAAGGACUCCACAUAAAAGUGUUGCGGGAUUAAUUGGGCCCAAAUCAGAUUUUGGUCCUUUAAGGUCUAUGUGCAUUUUAAUGAGAUAUGGUGGAAAGUUUAGUACCACAUCGCCUGCUGAACCAAAAACGCACAAAAGAGGAGGACUAUAUAAGAAAUGCCCCUGGCCCCUGGAGGAGAACACAUCAUUAUAGAGUUGAGAGGUGGCCUCGAAGGAUAACCUUUCCUCUAUAGAGAAUUAGGGCUAGACAUUCCAAUGUAGUAGAUUAGUUCUAGUAGGGAGUUAGGGAGAGCGGAGCUGCGCUCCGGUUCUAGAGAAGUCUUCAGAGUUUUGGUAUGUCUUUAUUGUAAGACUUAUGCUUUAAUACUCCCUCCAUACCCAGAUUAAUAGUCAUUUUAGACCCUAGAGCCCUUUUCAAAAAGUAGACGUUCUGCGCGCGCGGUGGAAAAUGUGGACGCGAUUGCCCCUCUGCAUGGCUGCAUGCAAGCACCGCCGGCCAAAACGCACGCGCAGCCGCCCACAGGCAGCCCGCAGUUAACGCACCUGCAUGCGUCUCCUCGAUUCACAUCUCCUCGAUUCAUGGAGGGAGUAUAUUUAUCUUCUCUAUUUACUUCUAUGCCUUCAUUAUUAUCGAGUAGUGUAGUCGUUAUAUUUUGGCAUAGGAUCUCCGUUCGCAUCGAGUGCUCUAGUUAUUCAUGGUAAUUAGAGUAGUAAUCGUUAGUGUAGACGUGGUGUCUAUACUAGAGGUUACCUGAGGUUGCACCCAGUCUUGCGGAUUGUUGUGGUAGCCCUAGGGUAGUGACAGCCCUAAAGGUCGAUGUAUUCCACCUCGUUGGAUCAGUGUUUGUAGGACCGUAGUUAGAGCUUCCCAGCCCCCUUCUCAUCUCUUUCUGUGGUUGGUGUUCUGAUGUCCCAAAGUGCUAAUAUGUGAUUGCUAUAUCUAUUCAUUCUUUGUUAUCAUAGAACUAAAGUAAUAGAGAAGUAUACAGGAACCUAGGUCUCUCCCGUUGUCCUCCCGCUAUGGCUAUCUACGCAUUUAUCAUAGAAUUCUCACCUUUAUAUUAUUACCUAUCAUAUAUCAUUUACCCCUACUUUAGUCUAGUUGGUUUGUUAAAUUAGUAGAUGCAUGAUAGUAAGUUAUCAGAUUCUUUGACCUUCGCUUCCCAGUGGUGAAAUAUAAAUAACGAUACCUGGAAUACUCCCGGUAAAAUGCUACGAUGAUGUUCUGUGCGCUUGCGGAAUUUUUCUUAUUCUUAUUGCACUUAACGAAUGUCAACACUACCUGUCAGCGCCCUUUUAUCACAUUCCUCCACCGACUUAGAGUUUUAAACUCCACCGUUCUUUGAAGUCGAUUUGAUCCAAGGAUCACGGUUUAUCCCAUAGGGCUAUAAACACAAAGCCCCCUCAGAUUAAAGCAUUCUCCUCUGUGUUGGAACCCUAAUUCCACUUCUGUAUGAAGAGUUUCUAGAGAGAAUCAAGAGAAGCAUUGAGAGAAUAUUAGUCUUAUAGUCUACAAGAGAUUAGGAGUAGUCUUAUUUAGAAAUAGAGAGGUAGAGUGUUGGGGAAGAGUUGGGGGAAGCUUCGGCCUGUCGGUGGCUCCUCUUCAGCUUGUAAUUGCGGGAUCAAGUUCCACUAUAUCUAGAGCUUGCUUCUAAGAGUGUUUUGGUGUUCAACUUCUAAUUCAAGUAAGUUCAUUAUUAAUGUUCUUCGGGUUCACAAUUCUUUUGAGUGCUUUAAUCUAUAAGGCACUGGAGAUUAAGGUAGUAAUUCUAGGUGUAGGCGAGGAUCUUGUUGCAUGUGGAUGCACCUACGGAUCGGUGGUAGAUCACAGGUGUCACAAUAUCCUGUUGAGUCUUAUAUAGUGCAUAUGCCAUUUGUAGUGGCAUAUAGGACACGGUUGCAAAGUUAAUCUUAUCUUAUGUAGUGCUUUCUCUUGAGUAAUGUCCCCAACCUGAGGAGUAAUAUAAAUAAGUUAUAAGGUUAGAACUAGAUGACCUUACUAACCUCCUUUAUUAUCCCUAUCGUCUCUGUCCUCUUUGCUAUCUCAGGGGUUAAGUUUAGACUUAGUUACUAUCACACAUCUUCCCUGUGGUAAAAUAUAAAUAACAAUACUCUAGAAUACUCUUGGGUAAAGCGCUACAUUGGGUAAAGCGCUACAUAAUUAUUAUCUGUGCACUUUGCAUACUUAUGUUUCUUGUGUGCAUUUAAUUUAUACCAACAGGUAACAUAUGAAUAUUUAUUUCGUAAUGAACCUUUGUACCUGACAUAUAUAUGCAGCUACAGAUGGCGGACCAAUUAGUUUGAAUUUCGGAGGGAAUAGCUAAGGACAUCAUGGUAGAGAUUCAAGAUCACUAUGUCCUGCCGAUUUCAUGGUCCUCGAGAUAGGAGAUGAAGAAGAUGAGACCCCAUCAUUUUACGACGACCAUUCCUUAGUACAAUCAACGCCAUCAUCUACAUUUGAUCUAGAUGAGUCCACAUUCGGUUUCUAUAGAGAAAGGUAUAUUGUUACUUUAAUAGUCUUACUACUUAUGAGCAGCCUAAGUAGCACCGCUAUAGGAGGAGAUGCCAGUCAUUCCAUCAUCAAGAGAGUCUACCUCUCAAGGAUGGAUGAGUAGACUACCUCGAGAAAGUAAGCGAACCUUGCUCGAAUGAGUGGGAACAAGAAGAUGAGAAGAUUGAAGAACCUACAAAGAAAAAAAGGCACUCCCCUACUUCAAAUGCACGAGUCACCAAGAUAUGAAAGAGAAGAAGGUAGUUUCAAAUAAAGAGAAUAUGGUAACAUUAACAUAACUAGAAUAGACAUUGGAACCUCAGUUCGGAUGAGAUGAUACAUCUGGAGAGUAAAUACUCUCUCUCCCUCUCUCUUGCCUAGUCUUGUUUGGAUUACUUUAAAUUUCACACCUUUGUCAUGAGUUAAUGGUAGUUAGCUAUAUUUGUUAGCAUAUUUAUUUAUCUACAUUAAAUAUUAUUUAUCUCUAUAUUUGUCUUGCAUUAUUAAAAUUAGAAGUUACUUUGUUAUGUUUAGUCAUCAUUGCAUCACAAGAGUUUAAGCCGCAUGUGAGUACUCUUAUGGUGUGUUACAACCCAAAGGAAUAUUCAUCAUGGUGGCAUAAAAAUAAAAAUACCAUGCAUAUUUCCUUUUCCUGCAUUAUAAAUAGAAAAUACCCCAAAAAAGAAGAGAUGAAAGAGAUAUCCUGCUACAAAUUGUCAAUCUGUCUUAACCCAUAAAGAACAACUAAUCAUUUAUUGGCUGACCGCUAAACCCGUGUUAUAAUUUAAGCCUCGAGAUUUUGGUGUUCUUGUUGGAGUAAUUUUUGUAGGAUGAUACUUUGACCAAGAGUAAGUUCACUUGGUGGCGUACGACUCAUUUCACUGAGAUGAGAAGGACUGCUGCUGACAAGCUCACUCUAGAGAUCACUCAAUAAAUGAGCAUAGCAAUAUCUAGCUUGGGGGAGAAGCAUCCCCUUUGUAUCUAGCUAAGUAUUUCUUUACCUUUUUAGCUCAACUAUUUUGAUUUUUUCUAUAAGUAAAAAGAAAUAAAAAGAAGAAUAACAUAUUAAACCAAAUAAAAUUGUCCUAGUUAUUUAUAUAUAUAAUUUAUGGUGCGAUCUUAAUUCUGAAAGUCAAAUAAAGAGUAUGUUUACAUUUCUAUUUAGUUGUUAAUAGUCAAAUAAAAGUAAUAGAGAGUACAAUUUUGUUUUGGAGAUGGUGAAUAGUUGCUCUAUCGUAAUUUCUUUCAAAUAUCUAGUUUUUAGCCUUGAAUUCUCCCAAGAUUUGUAUAUAAUUGUAUUGAUAAAGAAUUUUCUCGGACCAUGAAACUUGUGAGUAGCAUAUGCUUGAUCUAAGUCUACGUGAUUGAUAAAUAUGACAUGAGAAAGUUUGAGUUGCUAUUAAUCUUGUUCCUAGCAAUACUAUAAUUCUAGAGAUUAAUCUUUUGAAAAUUUAAAAUCUUAUAUGAUGAGCUCUUGUAUGACAACGCUUAAAUUUCUACCAAAGCCAUAUAUGGUAUUUAUAAUUAGGAAAAUUUAAACUUAUAUAUACUACUUGGUUUUUAUUGAGUUUAGUCAAGUUUUGUUGUGUGCCUUAUGAGAGGUUUGUCACAUUCUUAAAAUCAAAAUCACAUACACACCACACAUAUAUACGCACUAUUUCUAUGUUGGGAGUAGGCACAACGCUACAUUCCAUUUCAUUUAGAUCAACCUUAAAAAUGUUUUGCACCUACCUUUCAGAGUGAACACCCAAAAAUAUUCCCUAUAUAACAGCCCCUAAUAAUGGUCCAAGUUAUUGUUUCUAUCUCUUAAAUAUUUUGUUGCAAAAAAGAGUCAUGAGGCUAUGCAAAAGUUGUUCAAAAAAAGAAGAGUUUAAAAAAAUGGAAAAGUGUCUGAGAUAUUAAAACAAUGGGUACUUGUCGAUGGAAAAUGGUCGGCAAUCUAACUAGGGGUAUGCCCAAGGUAGUAGAUUGCCAGUAGACAUGUGCGCAAGCUACGAACUAGAUAGUGACGCAAAACACAGACAAUGAUUUUAUCUGGGUUCGGUCGCCGUGAGGGCGUAAUACAUACGUCAUACAUCUGAUUGUAUUGAUUAUGAGUUGUUGUUGGUAUAAAAUAACUACACCCUAAUAAUGGUUAUAAUUAGAUUAUCCGCAAGCGCACAGAUAUAUACUAAUAAGCAUUUCACCAAGAUCAACCCAGUUUUAAUAUCGAACCCAAACGAAUAGUUGGUGAUUUAUGACUUCGCCUAUAAUUCUUAAUCUAAGGGGGCACAAACAAUCUAGAAACUAUAGACGAUAAGGAAAUACUAAUAUACUCUGGUUCCAAUAACCGGUAAACUUUAUAUAGUAUCUUCUUAUUAGGUAAGUAACCCGAAUAGGGAAAGAAUCAGAGUAAUCCCCUAUCAGGCACCUAUAAGCCUAUCAAUCCUAUCAACGGGAAGUGGACUACAGAGGAAUUAAUGUAGCUAUAAAGUCACCUACUGAACUACCAUUGUCUGGCUGAUCAGGAGACAUUCACAAGCAACCAUAGCCCAGACACCACGUCUACGCUACGAAUCACUACUCCGACCUAGGAGCUACCCAAAUCGGAGUACUCAAUGUAAUAUGAGUUGCAAACCAAAGAACGAACACAAACAACUUGCUUACUUGAUUCAGAAGGGUAAAUACAAAAGUACCUCACAACACGGUUCCGGGCGAGGGAGCCGAAUCCCAAAGAAUAGUGCUCCUGAGCAAGCUCCGAUAGGCCGGGACUCCUUGUUGACGGUCCUUAAUGCUCACAUUUAACCAUCAACUAAUCAUAGAAAAGGAUCCAAGUGCAACCAACACCUAGACUUAGGUUUUUAUCUGAUAGAAUUCCACGAGUUUUGGUGUUUGUCUAUUUCUGCAGGGGGUUAUCAGGAAAUAUGAAAGAAAGGCCCACACGUCGGGUUUACAUAGAGAUAUCAACGUGCCACGCAAUUUUCUACCAUCUAGAAGACUCCAGAAGCAACGGGAACGAACGGGAGGCCGAUCGGGCCCGGGGGCAGGGCGCCCGCCCUCCCCCCUUGGGUGCCCGCCCAGCUACAGUAACCAAUCAGCUUCAACUUCGCGGAUCGUGCUCCACCGACCUAAGGGACCAAGGAAAACCAUGCGAUUAAUAUCGGUUUGAUCCAACGGCCCAGAUUCAUCUGAAAAGACUAUAUAAGCAAGGCCCCCUGGCCCCUGGAGAUCAUACCUCUUCUACAGAAUCAAAGUUAGGGUUUCAAUUCUUCAUCCAAGUAGAGAGGAUCCCUCUAGUUCUUCUAGUUCUACCUCUAGUUCAUCUAGUUCUAGUUCUAGUUCAUCUAGAUCUAGUUCUAGUUCCUCUAGUUCUAGUUCUAGUUAGUUCUAGUUGUAAUCUAGAAAAUAGGGAGAGAGAAGAGGAGAGCGGAGGAGGAGCCGGAUCUGUCGGAUCUUCCUCAACAUUGUACUUUUGCAGCAACUGGUUCGUUCUUCAUCGUUCUCCAGGUUCUUCAAUUCAUAAUUCCUGAGUUCUCUAAUUACUUUUAUUUACAUUCAAGUUAUUUAUUGGAUUCCCGCUUGCAUCAAGUGCUCUAGUCUUUAUAACGCUAGAGUAGUAAUUAAUAGAUUAGACGUGGUGUUUAGUCUUGCAAUUACCUGGAAUUGCACCCAAUCCUGCGGAUUGUUGUGGUAGCCUUAGGGUAGUGAUAGCCCUAACGGUCGACGUAUUCCACCUCGUUCGGAUUGGUGUUUGUAGGACCGUAGUCAGACCUUCCCAGCCCCCUUCUCAUCUCUUUCUGUGGUUAGUGCUCUGAUGUCCCGAUAUAGAUAAUUUUGAUGUAAUCCUUGAUUCUUAGAUCAACUAGAGAACUCUUAGGAAACUUCCUCUCUUCACACCAAAAAUAAUUAUAUAGUUAUCCUUGGACGAUCUUGGAUCUUAAUUAGUACACUCACGUUCUCUAUGGAAAAUCGAUACUCUGAAAUACUCCCGGGUGAAGGCUACAUCGGUAUCCGUGCGCUUGCGGAUUUUUCUGUUUGCGUUUAAAAUACCCAACAAGCUUUCUGGCGCCGUUGCCGGGGAACGGUAGCUGUGCUAGUUUCGAACCAAGUCAUCCGUGUAUCCUUUUUGUUUUCGUUUUUUUACCACACUCACCUUAUCAUUUUCACCAUACCACAUGGAUUUCACUCUAAGCAUUAAUGAGCAUGGAGUUUAUUUCAUAGCCACUUCAUUUACUCCAUGCUCAUAUGCAACAUCUUCCCAAUCCAUUGGUUUUUCAAACAUCACCACAUUCGAGAUCUCCAACCCCCUCAUCCUUUCUAUUUAUAAAAACUUUAAAAGGGCGGUUGUCGAUGCAUAUGUCUAUAAUAAAUAUUGCAGAUCCCGUUGAGUUGAUCGUGAUAUAGGUCAGCGUUGGAGUGGAAACCACUUCGCUGACAUAAAUUAAUGGUUUCCCAAGGACAAGCUUAGUGUCCUAAAACAAGCACCGAUCAGAUUGUAACAUGAGCUUUUAAUUAUUUGCAACAUUACCUUGUGUGUUGAGCAUAUAAGGAUAAUUGUAAAAAAAAUCCUUCGGAUAUUCUUGUCACUAACCUUUUCAGGAUUGGAGCAAGAAGAUCGGAUGAAUGACAACCACAAGGUAUGUCCAACCAAUCAUCAUACAACAUUGAAUUAAAUUCAUCCAAACUUGAAUUUUGCAAAAUUCAAGCUUGGGGGAGUACUUUACAUAAAAACAUCCUUUGCCAUGUUGCUAUGUUGGUUGUCCCUACCUUUGAGACAUGCUCAAUUUGUUAAAUACUAAUCACACUACUUCAUCUCCACUUGAGUAGAUCUCUAUAAACGCUCUCAUGCUACCUUUAUUUGCUUUAGUAUAUGUCUAGGUUUGGAGUAGUUUCAUUUAUCUCUUAGUUAAGCAUGGUGCUUAGUUUGGAAUGUUGAUCUUACUUCCAAGGGAGUUUAAAUUAAGCAUGCUGCUUAGGUUAAAAUGCCCUCCUAAAUCAAAUUAGACAUGGUGUCUAGGUUGAUUUUUGAGCCGAUAGUAUGCUAUAGUAGAUAUUGGAUAUUUUGUUGAACGAACCCCUGCAGGAAAACUUUCAAUAUUGACAUGGGAAGUCCUGAGAUAAACUCACAUUGGAGACAAAGAGAGAGGCACAAGAAGUUUAACAAUUUACACAAGGAAGGCAUAGCUCACAAGAGAUGAUCCAUAGAGGGUGCUACAAACACGAUCCACAACCACUAAGAAAGGAAAGCUUCCACAAGGUGAUACGGUACCAUCACUCUUCAAGUAAGGUAACAUCUUAAGGAACUUGACUAUCACUUUUAUAAGUUUCUCCUUGGUUCUAGCGUUCACAUGAAUAAAGAGACAAACAUGUUUGAUUUACAACUCUAGAUUAACCAACCUAGUCAAUUCAAUAUGUUUAGUCCUUCAACCUUUGUGAUCCCACACUCCUAAUCAUAUGAACUAAAAUGUUGCACACUCAAUCUUUGGAAGAUAUAUAAAAAACAACAUAAAUAUAGAUAGAUUAUCUUUCCAUUAGGUUGAGUGAUCUGAUCUAACAAAUGUUUUAAAUGCUACACUCAUGAUCUUAUUAUCCAUCAACUUUGUCUUGCUCACUAUGCUUAAGGUUAGAGCAGAAAAAAUACACUUUUGGUUCUGUUGGUGUUUUCCACCAACAGGGCCCAUGGACUUGAUCUCUGCCUUGUCUCCAUGGGAAGGUACACUUUGAGCAAAAUAUGAAGGAGUUUUACAACUCCCAGACUCCACCAAGUGAAGAACCUAGAUCUACGAGCACAAACACACUGGAGAUACUGGACACUCAGGCAAUCACUGCCUUGAGAUGCUUGAGGACAUAAACUACAUCAAUAACAACUACUACUACAACCGUCCUCAACAAAAUCAAGGUUGGAAUCAACAGAGGCCUAACUACUCAGAGGCGACCCAGGACGCCCUGUCAUCCCGAUCUCCAUCGGCAUGGUGGACUUUUCAGAAGACACUCUACGACACCGGAUCUGAUGUCAACAUAAUGGCCGCAGUCACUUAUCAGCUCCUGCAUGGAACCAUGCCCCUACAACCAACAUACAUUUAGCUCCAGAUGAUUUUAAGGUUAUUGACAUGGGAGAAGACGAAUUCGAUCCACCCGUCAUCCUUGGAAGACCGUUCCUCAACACCAUUAAAGCAAUCAUCUACAUUGGAACCAGAGAAGCCCACAUGCACUUCCCCUCUGAGAAGGUACGCCAAUAUUUUAAUGACCCUAACUAUAUAAUUGAAGACUCUAAGCAGGUCAGGACGAGAAGAAGACGACGCAACCGCAACCAGAGGAGGAAAAUCAUCAAGGACGGAUGAGCAGACUACGAAGGAGAAGUGGUAAGGUCUGAAGACAUACAACUUGAACAGAACUGUCCUGAGGAGACCAUAGCACCAAGUCGGGUGCGAAGAGAGAAGAUAACUAUACACGAAGAGGAGGCGUUGCCGGAACCACCGACUACGCCAUCCAGCGAAUCCCAGGACGACUGAGAAAACAGAGAGUCCCGUUCGGAGGACUUAAAAACACCGAACGCCUUGCCAAGAGCUAAACUGGGUAGUUAUCUUUUUCCUUUCAAUUAUUUAAAAUAGUUUGCUUAGUUAAUCAUAUUCAAAUCAUCUUGAAAAGAAAAUAAAAAUGUUUAAAAUAGUAAGCCCCAUGUGAGUAUGCUCAUGGCAUAAAACCCAUAAGUACAUUCACUGUGGUGGCAUAAAAAAUGAAAUAAAUAUAUUCCUAUCCUAUAAAAAUAAAAUUAUAAAAAUAAAUUUAUGAUCCUACUAAAGAGAGUAACAUUUAUUGAGGAGGCUCAACAUGAUAAAGGCUAGAUACUUAUGCUAAGACUUAACCAGUUCCACAAAGCUUUGUUGUCUAUUUGAGCUCCACAGAAUUCAAGGAUCAAAGAAGACUAGCAGACAGAGGACAUCCUAAUCACUGUCAGAGUGAUUCCGACAUUCAAAUACACCUCCAUCACCUGCUAGCUACAUCAAAAGAAAUUACGUCAAAAUCCAGCUUGGGGAGAGCACCCCCAUUUAUCCAGCUAAGUGUUCUACUCAUGUUUAUAUUUUACUUAAAUAAUAAAAAGAUGCAUAAUCAUAAAAACCCAAAUAAAGAUUUUGUGCUUAUAUAUAUAUCUUUGCUUAGUUUGCUUAAUAAAUAAAUAAAUAAAGUUUGCUAUGAACCCUCAUGAUAAGCUCUCACAUGGAAAUGAUGAAUAGUUGCUCUGCUAUGAUUAGUUCUAAAAAUUGAAAUCUCUCUUAAGUUUAGGUAUGACUGUUAUUAAUUAAGAUUUGCUCUAAAUCUGAACUUGUGGGGAGAGUACUUGAUCUAAAGUCUAAGUCGUUAACGGAUACGAUAUGGGAAGGUUGAGUUGCUGUUUAUCUGUUCCUAGAGAUGCUAGAAUUCUGGAGAAUUUUAUCUUUGAAAAUCUUUAAAAUAUCACAUGAUAAGUUCCUGUUAGAUGAGAGUUUAAAUUCCUACCACAGCCAUAUAUACAUGCUUGCUAGACUAUGAACCACACAUUUACUCUACUACUUAUGAGCAUUGAGUGUGGUCAAGCUGUGUAGAUCCUUAGGAGCUUGUCAUGUGGUUAAAUCAAGAUUCACUUGCACGUUCACUCACACAUGCUGCUUCUACUCUGGAAGUACGCAUCCACAUAUAUCCACUCAUUUCCAUCUCUAGAACCACCCAAAAAUAUUCUACUCCUAAUCCGGAAGAGAAUAGCCAAAAACAUUCUCCUAUUCCUGUUUUUCCCUUGUGAAAUAAAUGCUCAAGUUAUCUUGUUACUACCACUUGCUAUAUUAUCUCAUGAGAUGAGUGCUCUAAAAAAGAAAAAAAAAGAAAAAAAGAAAAAAAAAGAAGUAUACGAGGAAAUAAAAAGGGGCAAGUGCCCGGAACCUCGAAAGAAAAGAAAAAGUGAGACGAGAGGUAAAAAUGGACAAGUGUCCGACAGUAGAAUUAGGGGUACAAGAUACCCUCCUGAGAGAAAAGAAAAAGAAAAUAUAGAGCAUCUCAUUCUCCUCAAAAGGUUUCAAAAGAGCAAGAAAGGUAUGUAUCCCCUCAAAAGAGCAUAAGUAGAAUUAGACUUUCACCAUUGUUAUCACCAUCAUUACCAUGCAUCAUUCAUUCGCCACACAUGCACAUCUUGAUUUGACUUAUUGACUUGUUUCUUUGGAUCCAUGGUUUGACUAUGCAAUAAAUGUCUUGUAAGUAUGUAUUAGCUGUCUCCCACCUAUGAGCUCCAGAUAUCAAAACCUUAUUAGAGUAGGGUGAGAGAGAAGGCAAUGCCACUAUGCCUCAUACCAAAAAUACUACAUACUUUGAGAGAAGGCAUAUACUAUUACUGCCUUGGUAAGGAUCCAGAAAUACCACAAAAGAGAGACUAGAGAGAGUCAUACAAGGAAUCUCUGAGUUUUAUUUGAAAAUCUGCAAAAACUUCAGAGCUAUAGUUAAUCGAAGAACAAGAGACAUGGUGCUUGACUUGACCGUUCUAUAUUUUAACUGCUCAAGACACAAGUGACGGUUGCAAGCCCCAUGGUGGAAGGUAAUAUGAGUAAGUUUAAAUCUUAACAGUUUACCGUAACCCAGAGAUGAGAUAUUGUUUGAAUGCAUGUGUAUCUUUAAGGCAUGAAACCACUGCAGAAACUCUUGAGUCCAUCUUUGCUCAGGGACGAGCAAAGGUUAAGCUUGGGGGAGCUUGUUGACGGUCCUUAAUGCUCACAUUUAACCAUCAACUACUCAUGGAAAAGGAUCCAAAUGCAACCAACACCUAGACUUAGGUUUUUAUCUGAUAGAAUUCCACGAGUUUUGGUGUUUGUCUAUUUCUGCAGGGGGUUAUCAGGAAAUAUGAGAGAAAGGCCCACACGUCGGGUUUACAUAGAGAUAUUAGCGUGCCAUGCAAUUUUCUACCAUCUAGAAAACUCUAGAAGCCACGGGAACGAACGGGAGGCCGAUCGGGCCCGGGGGCAGGGCGCCCGCCCUCCCCCCUUGGGUGCCCGCCCAGCUACAGUAACCAAUCAGCUUCAACUUCGCGGAUCGUGCUCCACCGACCUAAGGGACCAAUUUAAACCGUGCGAUUAAUGUCGGUUUGAUCCAAUGGCCCAGAUUCAUCUGAAAAGACUAUAUAAGCAAGGCCCCCUGGCCCCUAGAGAUCAUACCUCUUCUACAGAAUCAAAGUUAGGGUUUCAAUUCUUCAUCCAAGUAGAGAGGAUCCCUCUAGUUCUACCUCUAGUUCAUCUAGUUCUAGUUCUAGUUCAUCUAGAUCUAGUUCUAGUUCCUCUAGUUCUAGUUCUAGUUAGUUCUAGUUGUAAUCUAGAAAAUAGGGAGAGAGAAGAGGAGAGCGGAGGAGGAGCCGGAUCUGACGGAUCUUCCUCAACAUUGUACUUUUGCAGCAACUGGUUCGUUCUUCAUCGUUCUCCAGGUUCUUCAAUUCAUAAUUCCUGAGUUCUCUAAUUACUUUUAUUUACAUUCAAGUUAUUUAUUGGAUUCCCGCUUGCAUCAAGUGCUCUAGUCUUUAUAACGCUAGAGUAGUAAUUAAUAGAUUAGACGUGGUGUUUAGUGUUGCAAUUACCUGGAAUUGCACCCAAUCCUGCGGAUUGUUGUGGUAGCCUUAGGGUAGUGAUAGCCCUAAUGGUCGACGUAUUCCACCUCGUUCGGAUUGGUGUUUGUAGGACCGUAGUCAGACCUUCCUAGCCCCCUUCUCAUCUCUUUCUGUGGUUAGUGCUCUGAUGUCCCGAUAUAGAUAAUUUUGAAGUAAUCCUUGAUUCUUAGAUCAACUAGAGAACUCUUACGAAACUUCCUCUCUUCCCACCAAAAAUCAUUAUAUAGUUAUCCUUGGGCGAUCUUGGAUCUUAAUUAGUACACUCACGUUCUCUAUGGAAAAUCGAUACUCUGGAAUACUCCCGGGUGAAGGCUACAUCGGUAUCCAUGCGCUUGCGGAUUUUUCUGUAUGCGUUUAAAAUACCCAACACUCCUCCAAAUCUCUACUCCUCUACUCUAUCUCUGUCUAAUCUCUAUCUUGAUUGCUAGCCUAGAUCUAGUGGAUCUCUAUCUAAUGCUCUGGCUCUUCAUCUCUUGACCUAGCCUCCUCUAGGGCGGUCUUGCCUUCUAUUUAUAGGCUGGUGGGGUGAACGCGCGCCGUUGGAUCAAACCGACUUAACAAGCGGUCGAGAUGGCUCCUCAGAGGCGGUGGAGGAAGCUUCUAGAAGGGGGGGAGCAAACCCUAAACCUAGGGGGCCGGCCGGUGCUAGGGUGGAGCCGGUCAGCCCCACUUGGUGGCGGCUGGCUCCCCCCUCGCGUUAGGUGUCUUCUAGAGUGUUCGUGAAUCCUCUGGUGUCAUCCUUUCGUCGCGGCUAAGUUUCGUGACCGAUGAUUAGCACUUAAGUCCUUCUUUUCAGCACUUUCUAGAAUAAUCCUCGAAAAACACAGAAUAUACAAAACUCAUGGAAAUUAUCAGUGAUAACCCUAUUCUAAUGGAUAUUCAUUUCUGGUAGAGAAAUAAAUGCUAAUAAAUUCAUAAGUUAACAAGUGUCAACAAUUACCCCCACACUUAUUCUUUUACUCGUCCUGAGAAAAAGGUUGAUUUUAUCAUAAUAAGUAAAUAUUUAAUGCAUAACUUGGAAAUUAAAUUAUAUAAAACUGAUCCAGUCAUCAUCUACUGUAGAAAUUUAAAGUGCUUAUCAUGAAUUCUAUAGCUAUUCCAGAGUAGGACAGCUUAAAGUAGAUUACUCUUUUCCUUAAAUUUUGUCUGCUGGAGAGUAAGUAGAGUUUGCAAAUAAAACAUAGCUUCAACCUUCUCUUAAUUGUAGUGGCAUCAAUGAUUAUGAUAUUAAUUUGAUGUUAUGACCAGGGAGGGAAAUAUCAUAUUCCUGGAUCGGACAAAUUAUUCACUUCCUUACCCUAUUAUGUAGGAGGGACCAUAAGCUCUAUUUCUUUUCUUCUCUCUCUUUUUCAGAUCGAGGUUCUAGACACUUGUCCCUUUUUAUUUCCUCGUGAUCUAUCUUUUUGAGGUUUUGGACACUUGUCCCUUUUUAUUUCCUCAGAUUUUCUUUAUGAAGACCCCAUGCCUCCUUCAUAAUAGUGCUUAAGAGAGUGCAUUAUGUUUUUAUUUUAUGAUACUAGGAAUAUCAUCUAUCUCUCUAUUAGAGUCAUAAUGAUGAUAUUAUUAUUAUUUAAUUCCAAUACAAAGAGAGGUGAAGCUAAUUGUUUUUACCUUUUUUUAAAGAAAAUCCCCAAAGACAAAUUUUUAGGAAUUGAAUAAACAUUAUUUUGCUAUCUCUCUUCCCUCAAUAACUUAAGUAAACAUGAAGUACUAUAAAUUUUGCAGCCAUGAUUCUAGAAAAGGGUUAUACACUUUAUUUUUCAAGUCAUAGUUUAAAUGGUGUUUAUUCUUUCUUAAAAAUAUGUAAUAUCAAGAUUUUUGAUUCGGAUGACAAUUCGCAGAUAUAAUAUAUGCAAUUAUAAUUUAAAUAACCAAACCUGACCAUGUUCGAAGCGGAAGCAAAAAGGAGUGAAAAGGGAGCCGGCUGGCCCCACCUCUGGGCAGUGUGGGCCCCCCUUUGUUGUGCGCAAUCUUGGUUCGAUUGUGUUCUAAAUUAUGCUACUUUUCCGACUGAAUUUCCGUUUCAUUAUUGCGAUGUGCCUCCCCCACACUUAUUUUCGUGUAUACUUUUCUGCGCAAUAUGGGGAGAUAAACACAUACAAAAAUAGAGAAAAUAGUAGAUAAAAGAUAAGACACUUUAUUUAUUCAUGAUGGUGAUAAUUGAACAAACGUUUUAAUGAUUGAGCUAACGACUACCCUAGCUCGAUGGGCUUUGACCUAAGAAAACUUUUAUGACUCGACUGACCUAACUAACUAGCCAAACCAAGAGGAAUUGUGCAUUAUUUAUAAUUAAGUGGGCAACUACGGCUGCCCUUUCUUUUUGAGGCCCUAAAUUUCUUAGUGCAGGGCUUUAAUCUCUACUUCGAGCUUAUCUUUAUCGCUCCUAAGGCUGUGGAUCAAUUUGAAACAGAUCCCUACCUGUUUGUCCAUGCCUUCUAUAAGCUUGUCCCUUAGAUUGUUGGACUUCUCCAUCCCCCUGACAAUAUUAGAGAGGCCUUCUAGCUUUUCGUUGAGGGUGCACAAGGUAGGAGCUGGCUGCUUGGGAGUUUUCUUCAGUGCUAGUGCUGAUGUUGCUCUCUUCAUCUUGGGCUUAGGUGUCGGUGCGAGAUGCUCGACGUAGCACACCUCGUUAGGGUCAGCCCAAAUGCCAUGGAUAACUGGACGAAUGGUGGUAUACUUGGCACAGAUCAACUUCUCAUUCUCAUCGAUUUGGACCGACAAGAGCCGCUCGUUCUCCCUAGGUUGGAGAAGCGGAGUACCCUUGGGGAUAGCGACCUGCUUUCUAUUAGCAAUUCCUUGCAGCAAUCACCUUGUAGGCGAGGGAUCCGAUGGUUCUUGUAUGUAGUAGGCUUGAUCAUAGCGCUGGGGUACUGUGGUGACAUUCUUCGGCGGCACAACAGUGAGAGGCUUCGGUGGCACCAUGGCGAGAGGCUUUGGCGGCACCACGGCGAGAGGCUUCAGUUGGGCGAGGACGAGGGCCUUCGAGUUGUCGACUGCCUUGUCCACCAUAUGGGUUUUCACAAGAUGGGAUGAGCACGGAUUCUAGGCUCUACGGGAUCCGUACAAAAGAAUAUUCGAUUAUGACUAGAUUAUGCACGAAUAUCUGUAGGAAGAGUGCAGAAGAACAGGGAACGAGAGUCGGGACAGGGGGCGACAGGGUGGCGCUGAUCGGCCCCACAUUGGAGCCGGCCGGCCCCACCAGGGGCCCACUUCGGGUGCCCUUCUCCGUGGUGCCUUUAGACUCUUCCUAUUUUCUGUUGAACGUAUUUUGAAAUAAAAUCUCAUACUAGAAUAAAUAGAACUUAAUAUGGUGGUAAUUGGAUAAAUUAUAUCUCAUCAAUUACUCCUGAAUCAAAUGGUUCUAAAUAAAGUUUAAGUUGGUGUUCAUUUACCUUGAAUAACGUACCUUCGCUUGAUUGUAGAGUUACCGCUCCGUGUGGUGAUGAAUUCACGACGGUGAAGGGUCCUUCCUAUUUGCUCCUCAAUUUUCCAAGCCUGAAUAAUUUGAACCUGGAAUUAAAAAGUAAUACCUUAUCUCCUAGUGCAAAUUCCUUCUUCUUGAUCCUCUUGUCAUGCCAUCUCUUUGUUUGUUCUUUAUAGAUCUUCGAAUUGUGGUAUGCUUUUUCUCUCCAUUAUUCUAGUUUUAAUAAUUGUAUUUUUCUUUUCUCUCUAGCGGCUUUAAAAUCCAUAUUCCAUCUUUUGAUAGCCCAAUGAGCUUUAUGUUCUUGUUUGACUGGCAAGUCAUAGGUUUUACCAUAUACCAAUUGAUAUGGUGACAUACCCAAUGGUGUUUUAUAAGUUGUCCAGUAUGCCCAUAGUGCAUUUGGUAAGAGUUCCCAUCUCAUUUACUGUUUUCUAGAGAAUAUUUUUGAUUUGUUUAUUUGAUGUUUCUACCUGUUCACUUGUCUGAGGAUGAUAUGGAGUAGCGACAUUAUAUCGUAUUCCAUGAGUUUGUAGGUAUAAGUGAAACUUUUUAUCAGUGAAGUGUGUUCCUCCAUCACUUAUAACCAUCCUAGAUGUUCCAAACCUUGGAAAUAUAAUCUCUUCAAACAUCCUCUUUGAGUGUCUUGAGUCAUCCUUCUUGCAUGGCAUGGCUUCUACCCACUUGGAUACGUAGUCAACUGCCACCAAAAUAUACUCGUAGUUCCAUGGCUUCACGAAUCUUCCCAUGUAAUCAAUUCUCCAGACAUUAAAGAGCUCUAUCUAAAGAUUGUUGGUGAGUGGCAUAGCAUCUCUGGUAGUGAUAUUUCCAUGCCUCUGACAUGGCCCACAUCUUCGGAUAAAAUCUUUGGUGUCUUCAUACAUGGUUGGCCAAAAGAAACCACUUUGCCAAAUUUUUGCAUGAGUACAAAAUACCCCAUAAUGACCUCCAUAUGGUGAUGAAUUACAUUUCUGUAUGAUCUGCAUGCCCUCCUCCACUGGUACACAUCUUCUCAGCAACCCAUCUGAGCACACCUGAAAGAGAUAGGGUGGAUCCCAUAUGUGCAGACGACUUUCAUAAAUAAGCUUCUUCUUGUUUUCUCCUGGCAGUACGUAUCCUGCAACCAUAAAGUUGACAAUAUUCGUGUACCAAGGAUCUGUCUUGGUCACUUUAAAGAGCAUGUCAUCUCUUAAUGAGUAAUUAAUAGGUAACUCUUCAGGUUCUUUAAAAUACAUCCUAGACAAAUGAUCAGCAAUAGAAUUUUCUACACCUUUUCUAUCUUUAAUUUCCAAAUCAAAUUCUUGAAGUAAUAAGAUCCAUCUUAUUCAUCGUGGUUUAGCAUCUUUCUUAGUGAGCAAAUAUGUAAGAGCAGCAUCGUCAGAAUAAACAAUUAUUUUGGCUCCAACUAAGUAAGACCUAAUUUAUCAAUAGCAAAAACAACAGCUACAAGUUCUUUUUUAGUGGUUGCAUAAUUUAAUUGUGCUUCUGUCAUUGUUCUGCUAGCAUAAGCAAUUGCAUGAUGCAUUUUAUCUUUUUUUGUCCUAAGACUGCGCCUACAAUCACUAGCAUCACACACAAUUUCAAAAGGUAAAGACCAAUCAGGGGGUUGAAUGAUUGGUGCUGAUGUCGGUGCUUCCUUAAGAAUAUUAAAUGAUUCUAAGCAUUCAUCAUCAAAUUCAAAAGCUACAUCCUUAGCUAAUAAUCUAGUCAAUGGCCUAGCUAUUUGUGAGAAAUUUCUUAUAAAUCUGCAAUAAAAACCACAAUGACCAAUAAAGCUUCGGAUUCCUUUUAUAUUUACAGGUGGAUGUAGUUGUUUGAUUACUUCAAUUUUAGCUUUAUCUACCUCUAUGCUUCUUUCUGAUACUAAGUGUCCUAACACUAUUCCCUCUCUAACCAUAAAAUGACAUUUCUCCCAAUUGAGGACUAAGUGUUUUUCUUCACAUCUUUGCAAGACCUUAUCUAAAUUUUCUAAACAAUCAUCAAAAGUUUUUCAAUAAACUGAAAAGUCAUCCAUAAAAACUUCCAUGAUUUUUUCUAUCACAUCAAAAAAUAUAGACAUCAUGCAUCUUUGGAAAGAAGUAGGUGCAUUACAUAAUCCAAAAGACAUUCUAUGAUAAGCAUAAGUUCCAUAGGGACAUGUAAAUGUCACACCCAUAUUUUAAGAACAAAAUAGGAUGCAUAAAAGACUCAUAUGUGCCCCAGAAUUUUGUCGCACACAUAAGUAGACAAAUCUCAAAUGUGCCAUUGCAGUGUUUAUUACAUAGCAAAACAUAAUAGAUCACAUAGUCUUAUACAAAAAUGAUAGCAUGAAGUAAACAACGCUCUCGAUGGAAGCUCCACACAGGGACAAACAUUGACUCGUUGACUUCAAACCUAAUACUCAUAGCGAUAGUGCUCAUUCCAAUCAUCAUCAUUAGCAUAACCUGGGGUGUUGGGAAAUUGCAAGAGUGAGCACAUAUCAUACUCAACAAGUAUAACUAGGGGUUCAUGAGGCUCAAACAGCUGAUACUGGUUUGACUGCAUUUAGCUUUUAAUAGUGGAUAGCAUGUUUAAUCAUUGGAUAGAAAAUAUCAAGGUAGCAUAAAUAAUCCCAUAACCAUAUGAUCAAUUGUAUACAAGAAUUAAGAAUAACACAUACAAACAACAUAAUAAACCAUCAUUUACCAUCAUUAUUCACGUUCAUCAGUGUCCAUCUAUUCUGUCAGUUUUCCGGGCCGCCCGUAUCCGUGGGCACGGCUAGUAUACCAGAUUUAACACUCUGCAGAGGUUGUACAUCUUUACCCAUGAGUCAUGAUUUACCCUUUCGCCUGAGGUAGCUAGUCUCUUAACCCCCUUCCUAGGGAGGUUGGCAGGGAUCACUAUGAAGCCUUUCAAAAGUUCGUCUAACAUGUUAGGGCCGCAAGGUUUCCUUUGCGCGCAGAUAUAGAUACCCCCCUUCCAAAUGGCACAAUAACGCGCAGCCUAUACACAUAAGGACAGGGGCUCGCACUAUACCCAAAACGGUUUAGCCCCUCCGCCCUUUCGGGUAACAACUAACAAGCUAGAAAAGUUCUUCAUACUGAGCUAAAGCCAGAGCCAUAUAGCCCUCAUGGUUGUAUGAGUUGUCCCAGCUUUUGCCAAGGGAUAAGUCCUUAUGGAGGGUCAAGAUCAAUCCAACAAAAGCCAGAGUUCUUUCCACCCUUUAUAUUCAAGUUGCUAGAAAGCUUAUUUUAUUGUUUAUUGUAUAUUGAAAUAUUCAUGUUACAAGAUCAUGGAUUAAUAAUAAAGCACUAGCAAGAACUACCCAAAUGCAUAUCCAAAUAGGUAACAAGGAAUUCAGGAUAACAAUCAUCUAUGAUUUUGCUAAGGUCAUCAAGGUGGACACAUGCAAAUGAUAAAUGCUAUAUUAAUUGUGUACAAGUAACAAGGAUAGUCCCCAGUUAUACUUGCCUUGAUCAAAGCUCUCCUGAGCCUACUGGUCUUCAAAGCCUUGAUCUUGAUCACCAACGUACGGCUCACCGUCUAAUCCCAAUCAUCAAUCAACAACACACCGUCCAAUGUAGACAAUCAUACACGAAGCAAACAAACUAUAAUUAGAACAUUACACCAAACAGUAGUAAAACAAAUAUAAAAGUUUACCAAAAUAUUCUACGCAGCACUACGAUCACAGAAACGUAAAGUUCACGAAAAUCAGAAUUAGAACGGUGAAGUUAUGAAUUUUCUAAGAUAUCCUAUAGAUAAAUAAUUAAUUAAAUGCUACUGCGAAAUUCAAAAGUUUCAAAACAGAGAAAUAAUACUUCUAAUUGUAGAGCUUGUAAAUACGAAUCUAAGGAAAUUUGAAUGGAUUAAAUUGGAGUUAAAACGAAUAUUUUAUGAGCAAAACAAUUUCAAUGGCAAACUUGUAAAAAACAGAAAGCGUAUUUUGAGUCAGCCGGCCAGGAUUACGCUUUCGCCAUUGCAAAACGAAGUCUGCUCAGGGCGCCAAGGACUGCGGAUUGGAUUUCAAAGAAACUCAGGGUCUCUUUAGGAAAACACGCAGCGAAGGGGUAUGUUUUCGGCCCUUAGAUCUCGAUCCAACGGCUCGGGCACGUCCAGGGGGCCAGUGGCGGCAGGCCGGCUGUCGGGAAAACCUCCGGCGCGGCGGCGCCAUUGAUGGCCGCGGGGAGCUCGCCGGUGAGCUCCAAACCCGUGAUUCGGUGCACCAAACGACGAUUCAAGGGCACCGGGGAGUGGAGAAAAACACUGCGAACUCACCUAGGAGCUUGGUUUGGCCAGGGGACGCACGUAUGGAGCUCACGGCGGCGGUGAGAAGAACUUUGCUCGGCGAGAUCCAAUCGAGCUCAAAAAGGGCACCUAUGAUCUGGUUUUGUUGCGGUUUGGAUGCAAAAGGAGUCCGCGGCUCCGGGGAAAGAACUUUAUAGGACUCGGUUUGCCUCCUUGGGAAGGAAAUCCCACGGUUUCGGGAUCGUUUCGGCCGAAGAAAGUAUCCUGCUCGAACACGGCUGGAGGUAGGGGAUGAUUCGGCUGACAUGUGGGCCCGAAGAUCAGUGAGACAAGGAGGAAGGGAGGGGAGGCGCGCGCCUGGGCCGCGGGGGGGAAAUGGGCCAUGCCCUGGCCGAGGCUGGUGCUGCUGCUGCUGGGCUGGGGUUUUCCUUUUUUUUCUAUUUUCUUUUUUUUUCUGUUUUCUAAAGCCUUCUUAAAUAGAAUUUUGAGAGCACCCAAAAUCCAACCCAAAGCAAUCAACACCACAAGAAGAUAUGCUUCAUCAUGUAUGCAUAAACAAGCUUCUAACUCUAUGUUGAAUUUUAAAUUUCAAUAAAAUUUAUUUCUUCACUAAUUUAAAUGCUCACAAGAUAUUUAAUUAAAUCAAAUUAAAUCCUAUUAAUUGAAAAUUAAAUUUUGGGUGUUACAAAUUCUACCCCCUUAAAAGAAUCUCGUCCUCGAGAUUGAGCAGAACUUACUCAAACAAAUAUGAAUUUGAUUUUCUCAGAUCAUCCCCUCUUUCCCAAGUUCCUUCCGCUUCUGAAUAUCGAUUCCAUUGCACUUUGCACAUUUUAAUAACCCGACUUUUGGUGACUCUCUCAGCUGUUUCUAAAAUUCAGACCGGAUACUCUUCAUAAGUGAGAUCACCUUUAACAGAAAGCUCUUCCAAUGAUAUUUGCUCCUCAGGUACACGCAAACACUUCUUAAGUUGUGACACAUGGAACACAUCAUGCACACCAGACAAACUUUCAAGCAACUCUAACUGAUACGCUACUUAUCCACACCAUUGCAAAACUUUAAACGGACCAACAUACCUUGGAGCUAGCUUUCCUUUCAUAUUAAACCUCUUCACACUCCGCAUAGGUGACACUUUCAGAUAGACAUAAUCACCUUCCUCGAAAGCUAGUUCUCUCCUACGUGUAUCUGCAUAACUUUUCUGACGAGACUGAGCAACUCUCAAAUUAUCCCAGAUAGUCCACACUUGUUGUUCUGCAUGUCUAACCACAUCCGUACCAAACACCUAAGUUUCUCCUAUCUGAUUCAAAAACAAAGGUAUGUUGGUCCGAACGGUGCCUACUUCUUAACAUCUCCUAUCUGAUUCAAAAACAAAGGUAUGUUGGUCCGAACGGUGCCUACUUCUUAACUUGCGACCAUACAGUGCCUCGAACGGUGCCAUCUUAAGACUCUGUUGAUAGCUGUUGUUGUAGGAAAAUUCGGCAUAUGGCAAACUCUUGUCCCAACUGGUUCCAUACUGCAAGGCACAAGCUCUUAACAUAUCCUCCAGUAUCUGAUUGAUCCUUUCAGUCUGUUCAUCUGUCUGUGGAUGAUAUGCUGUACUAAAAUUCAACUUUUUCCCCAAGGAAUCAUGCACUGCUUUCCAAAAAGUAGAGGUGAACUGAGUGCCUCUAUCAGAUACAAUCUUCUUAGGCACUCUAUGCAAACAAACUAUCCGCUCCGUAUGCAACUCUGCUAGUCAAGCUCCUGAAUCAGUGGUUUUGACUAGCAAGAAGUGAGCGACUUUAGUCAAUCGAUCCACUAUUACCCAUAUUGAAUCAUAUCCUCUCUCUGUACGAGGUAAACCCACUAUGAAAUCCAUGCCUACUUCUUCCCACUUCCAUUCAAGAAUCUUCAUUUGUUGCAACUGUCCAGCUGGCCUCUGAUGUUCGGCUUUCACUCGCUGACAAGUAUCACACAAAGCAAUAUACUCUGCUACAUCUCUCUUUAAACGAUACCAUCAGUACUUCUGUUUCAGAUAUAAAUACAUCUUUGUACUACCAGGGUGAAUGGAAUAUGCUGACUCAUGAGCCUCUCUCAGAAUCAUAUCACGAAUAGCCAUCACUUCAAGAACACAUAUCCUUUUUUCAAACCACAAUACACCAUUGUCAUCUAUUUUGAAUCCUGGUGCUUUGCCUAGUACCACAUUCUGUGCUAUCUCCUGUAGUUUCUCAUCUUCCAACUGUCCUUUCAAUAUCUCUUCCUCCAGAGUAGGAGUGACCUCAAUUUCUAUAGCAUUUACUACAAUUCCCAAGUUCAAAUAUGCAAAUUGAGCACACCACUCCUCAGAUUCAGGUGUCGCCCAAAGCUCAUUAGCAUAUUUCUUUCUACUAAGUGCAUCGGCCACGACGUUCCCCUUUCCAGGAUGAUAAUGCAAUUCCAAAUCAUAAUCCUUUAUCAGUUCCAACCAUAUUCGUUUCCUCAAAUUCAGAUCUGUCUGGGUGAAGAUAUACUUUAAACUCUUAUGAUCCGUAUAUAUGUCACUCUUAUGCCCAAUCAAAUAGUGUCUCCAAAUCUUCAAUGCAUGGACCACAGCUGCUAACUCUAGAUCAUGAGUAGGAUAAUUCAGUUCAUGUUUCCUCAACUGUCUAGAUGCAUAAGCAACAACUAUGCCUUCUUGCAUAAGAGCAUAACCCAAACCCAGACGAGAAGCAUCACAAUAGAUAGAGAAACUCUUACUCAGAUCUGGCAAUACCAACACAGGUGCAGUAGUCAAUCUCUUCUUAAACUCCUCAAAACUAGAUUGACACUUAUCAGACCAUACAAACUUAGCAUUCUUCUCCAACAGAGCAGUCAUAGGCUUUGCAAGUUUUUAGAACCCUUCAAUGAAUCUAUGACAGUAACCAGCUAAACCAAGAAAACUGCGAAUUUCACUUACAUCUGUAGGUGGUUUCCAAUUCAGCACAUCUUUCACCUUACUAGGAUCCACUGCAAUACCACCAUUAGAGACAACGUGACCAAGAAAAGAAACUUCCUGCAACCAAAACUCACAUUUACUACAAUUAGCAUAUAGCUUAUGUUCUCUAAGUUUCUGUAAGACCAAUCUUAGAUGUUCUGCAUGUUCUUACUUGGUUUUAGAGAAUACCAAAAUAUCAUCAAUAAAGACCACCACAAACUUAUCAAGAUACUCCAUAAAUACUCUAUUCAUCAUGUACAUAAAGUAAGUUGGUGCAUUGGUCAAACCAAAAGACAUAACUGUAUACUCAUACAACCCAUACCUUGUUGUGAAAGCUGUCUUUGGUAUAUCUGAAUUCUGAAUCUUCAAUUGAUGAUAACUAGAACGCAAAUCAAUCUUAGAGAACACACAAGCACCUCUUAACUAAUCAAAUAAGUCAUCAAUCCUAGGCAAGGGAUAUUUAUUCUUGAUAGUGACCUCAUUAAGUGACCGAUAAUCAACACACAUCCUCUGACUACCAUCCUUCUUAUCAACAAAGAUAACUGGUGCACCCCAUGGUGAUGAACUAGGACGAAUGAACCCUUUUUCUUGAAAUUCUUUAAUUUGUUUCUUAAGUUCUUCUAGUUCACUAACCCCCAUUCUAUAUGGUCUUUUAGCUAUGGGUGCAGUACCAGGUAGUAAUUCAAUAAUAAAUUCAAUGUCUCGGUCAGGUGGCAUUCCUGACAAUUCAUCUGGAAAGACAUCCGGAAACUCAUCCACUACUAGAUUCUGAGGAUCAACAUCAUCAUUCAAUUGGUUCACUUUAGCUGUGAGUGGUGCUUGCUCUGUUACAUCAACACUGAUUCGUUCUCCCUUUAGUGUUAUAACAGCCACUACUCUCUCUUUGCAAUUAAUAUUUGUCUCAUGUAGCUUCAUCCAAUCCAAACCCAAGAUCACAUCUAUGCCUGAAGUUCUCAUAACCAUGGGACUGAUAGGAAAAUCUACCCCCCUUAAAGAAAGACUUGCUGAGGGGCAACAACAAGAAACUGGUAUAGUCCCACCCGGUGAGUUUACUAGCAUAGGGGUUUUCAUUGCAACUAGUGGAAUGCUAUGAACUCUAACAAAUGCUUGUGAAAUGAAUAUAUGCGAAGCUCCAAAAUCAAAUAAAACUAUAGCAGGGAUAGAGUUGAUGUUGAACGUACCCAUCAUAAUCUCUGGUCCCUCCUGAACUGUCUCCGUAGCCACAUUGUUCACUGUUGCUGCAUAAGCAGUAGACUUCUGGUUGCUGUUUGGCUUGUUGAGCUUCUCCGGGCAAUCAUAUGACAUAUGUCCCUCUUUCCCACAACGGAAACACCUGGUAGGAGUGUUAGAAGCACUUCUUUUCGUGGAGGUAGCAUUUGAAUUCCCUGAGCGGGGUGUUUGCUGACCAUGCUGCUGUUGAUUAUGGUUACGUUGUUGGAAUGGAGGACGUUGGUUCCCACUCUAUGAUUGAUUCUGGAAACGUUGGGGUUGUUGGUUGCGGUUCCACUGACUAACUGGUCCCUGUAACCUCUGCUGAUGGCCUUGCUGAGAACUGAAACGCUAACGGUUGUUGCUCCCAGAACCUUGUGCCAGCAUCCUUCUCUUCUUAUCCUGCCCCUUACGCAUGUUGUCCAACACUAUAGCCCGAUUCACCAGAGCUUGAAAGGUAGGAUAAGUGUUUCCUACCAGCUGCAACCUGAGUUCAUAGUAUAGGCCUUUCAUGAACAAGCGCUGCUUAUCAGCAUCUUCUCUGACAUCGUUCGGAGCAUAGCGAGCCAACUGUUCAAAUGUGUCAUGAUAUUCUGCCACAGUCAUAGAGCCCAUCCUGAGUGAUCUGAAUUCUUCUUGCUUGAGCUCCAUCAUUCCUUAAUUUAUAUGUCGAGCUCUGAAGUCUCUAUAGAAUUCUAGUCAAGUGACAGGAGGAGCAUUGUUGGGACGAGCAGCUUGAUACGACUCCCACCAUGUCUGAGCUGCACCAUGAAGUUGUCCAGAAGCAUACAAUACUUUUUCCAUAUCAUUGCACUGGGCUAUGUUCAGUUGUCUCUCUAUAGCACGAAGCCAAUCAUCUACCUCCAUAGAAUCAGCUGAGUGUGUAAACACCGAGGUCUUCCCUUCAUAAAUUUGCCACGCUUAUCUCUCACAUGAAUAGGUGGUGGUGGUGGUGGAGGUUGCUGCUGUAAGUGCUGCAUAAAAACGUGCAUCAUCUCAUUUUGGGUUUGCAUGAGUUCCUCCACAGUAAUUGGGGCAUUGCCACCAUUGCCACGGUCUUUGCCUCUGCCUCUUCCCCUUGCUGCCAUCUGCAUUCCAAGGUAUAGAAACAUGUCUUAAUAAUGUCCAACAUGACAAUUACAAGAGGUAACAGAAUCUGAACUUUUCUGGGUAACAUCCAACAUCAGCAGAUCAGAAAAUCAGUCAUAUCGCGAGUUCCAGAAUUCAAAAGGAUACGUGCUAUACACCGUUGGAAAGAUAAAGAAAUUGUCUAGAACUUUCAUUUAGAUCAUAUUAACAGAUUCCAAAAUUAGGUUAAUCAAAAACUGGGUACAACCAAAACUGUCCAGAAUUCCAGACUGUGCAGAAACUUCAAAUUUAAACUGCCAUAACUCACAGGUCAUAACAGAUAAUAAUGUCAUUCUUGAGGAAUUGGAAAGAUAUGGAAGUCUACUUUUUCCCAGAAAAAGUUGAUGAAAUUUGCACGAACAGAUUUUGAUUUAUACCAGAAUCAUUGCAGACUGCUCCAGAAAACAGCGAUGGACAGAAACAGAAUUUUACCCAAACCCAACUAUUUAGUUCAUUAAUCCUUAUGCCUUAGGCCUAUAGAAUAAACGAAAUUGUAGAGAAAAUCCACAAGAUCAUUACACUCAUUACAAAGAUCCAAAUCAAGCAUAAGUAUAAUAACAAACCAAACCAAGCAUCAAAGAUUCACACUUCAAGCAUUGACUCAACUUGCGGUGCUAUCGUUCUCUUCCUAUUAAGGACAAAGAUCCAAAAAUCCUAUUUCAAUGACGUGAGAAGGUGGUAAGACAAAGUUCUAAAACCAUAUCGAGCAAGGAGUGGGGGUGAGAACUAAUCUUUAAAAUAAGCAUCAAGGUGAGGAUGAAUAGCAACGAAAAGGAUAUAGUAUAGAGGAAAAUACCAAGGUUUGUAGAACAAGGAUUUUACAGCAAUUUCAAAACCUUAAUACGACCAAUUUCUAACUAGGCUUCCGUCCGACAGUCAACAAAUCUUUGAUACCAAUUUGUCACACCCAUAUUUUAAGAACAAAAUAGGAUGCAUAAAAGACUCAUAUGUGCCCCAGAAUUCAGUCGCACACAUAUACCAUUGCAGUGUUUAUUACAUAGCGAAACAUAAUAGAUCACAUAGUCUUAUACAAAAAUGAUAGCAUGAAGUAAACAACGCUCUCGACGGAAGCUCCACAUAGGGACAGACAUUGACUCGUUGACUUCAAACCUAAUACUCAUAGCGAUAGUCCUCAUUCCAAUCAUCAUCAUUAGCGUAACCUGGGGUGUUGGGAAAUUGCAAGAGUGAGCACAUAUCGUACUCAGCAAGUAUAACCAGGGGUUCAUGAGGCUCAAACAGUUGACAGUGGUUUGACUGCAUUUAGCUUUUAAUAGUGGAUAACAUGUUUAAUCAUUGGAUAGAAAAUAUCAAGGUAGCAUAAAUAAUCCCAUAACCACAUGAUCAAUUGUAUACAAGAAUUAAGAAUAACACAUAUAAACAACAUAAUAAACCAUCAUUUAUCAUCAUUAUUCAAGUUCAUCAGUGUCCAUCUAUUGCGUCAGUUUUCCGGGCCGCCCGUAUCCGUGGGCACGGCUAGUAUACCAGAUUUAACACUCUGCAGAGGUUGUACAUCUUUACCCAUGAGUCACGAUUUACCCUUUUGCCUGAGGUAGCUAGUCUCUUAACCCCCUUCCUAGGGAGGUCGGCAGGGAUUACUAUGAAGCCUUUCAAAAGUUUGUCUAACAUGUUAGGGCCGCAAGGUUUCCUUUGCGCGCAGAUAUAGAUACCCCCCUUCCAAAUGGCACAAUAACGCGCAGCCUACACACAUAAGGACAAGGGCUCGCACUAUACCCAAAACGGUUCAGCCCCUCCGCCCUUUCGGGUAACCACUAAUAAGCUAGAAAUGUUCUUCAUACUGAGCUAAAGCCAGAGCCAUAUAGCCCUCAUGGUUGUAUGAGUUGUCCCAGCUUUUGCCAAGGGAUAAGUCCUUAUGCAGGGUCAAGAUCAAUCUAGCAAAAGCCAGAGUUCUUUUCCACCCUUUAUAUUCAAGUUGCUAGAAAUCUUAUUUUAUUGUUUAUUGUAUAUUGAAAUAUUCAUGUUACAAGAUCAUGGAUUAAUAAUAAAGCACUAGCAAGAACUACCCAAAUGCAUAUCCAAAUAGGUAACAAGGAAUUCAGGAUAACAAUCAUCUAUGAUUUUGCUAAGGUCAUUAAGGUGGACACAUGCAAAUGAUAAAAGCUAUAUUAAUUGUGUACAAGUAACAAGGAUAGUCCCAAGUUAUACUUGCCUUGAUCAAAGCUCUCCUGAGCCUGCUGGUCUUCAAAGGCUUGAUCUUGAUCACCAACGUACGGCUCACCGUCUAAUCCCAAUCAUCAAUCAACAACACACAGUCCAAUGUAGACAAUCAUACACGAAGCAAACAAACUAUAAUUAGAACAUUACACCAAACAGUAGUAAAACAAAUAUAAAAGUUUACCAAAAUAUUCUACGUAGCACUACGAUCACAGAAACGUAAAGUUCACGAAAAUCGGAAUUAGAACGGUGAAGUUAUGAAUUUUCUAAUAUUUCCUAUAGAUAAAUAAUAAUUAAAUGCUACUGCGAAAUUCAAAAGUUUCAAAACAUAGAUUUAAUACUUCUAACAUGUAGAGCUCGUAAAUACGAAUCUAACAAAAUUUGGAUGGAUUGAAUGGAGUUAAAAUGAAUAUUUUAUGAGCAAAACAAUUUCAAUGGCAAGCUUGUAAAUAACAGAGAGCGUAUUUUGAGUCAGCCGGCCAGGAUUACGCUUUCGCGGUUGGAAAACGAAGUCUGCUCAGGGCGCCAAGGACUGCGGGUUGGAUUUCAAAGAAACUCAGGGUCUCUUUAGGAAACGCGUAGUGAAGGGGUAUGUUUCAUUUUCAGCCCUUAGAUCUCGAUCCAACGGCUCGGGCGCGUCCAGGGGGGCCAGUGGCGGCGGGCCGGCCGCCGGGAAAACCUCUGGCGCGGCGGCGCCAUUGAUGGCCGCGGGGAGCUCGCCGGAGAGCUCCAAACCCGCGAUUCGGUGCACCAAACGACGAUUCAAGGGCAACGGGGAGUGGAGAAAAACACCACGAACUCACCUAGGAGCUUGGUUUGGCCAGGGGACGCACGUAUGGAGCUCGCGGCGGCGGUGAGAACAACUUUGCUCGGCGAGAUCCAAUCGAGCUCAAAAAGGGCGCCUAGGGUUUGGUUUUGUUGCUGUUUGGAUGCAAAAGGAGUCCGCGGCUCCUGGGAAAGAACUUUAUUGGACUCGGUUUGCCUCCUUGGGAAGGAAAUCCUGGGGUUUCGGUAUCGUUUCGGCCGAAGAAAGUUUCCUGCUCGAACACGGCAGAAGGUAGAUGAUGAUUUGGCUAACAUGUGGGCCCGGAGAUCAGUGAGACAAGGAGGAAGGGAGGGGAGGCGCGCGCCUGGGCCGCUGGGGGGGGGGAAAUGGGUCACGCCCUGGCCGAGGCUGCUGCUGCUGCUGCUGGGCUAGGGUUUUCCUUUGUUUUCUAUUUUCUAUUUUUUCUGUUUUCUAAAGCCUUUUUAAAUAGAAUUUUGAGAGCACCCAAAAUCCAACCCAAAGCAAUCAACACCACAAGAAGAUAUGCUUCAGCAUGUAUGCAUAAACAAGUUUCUAACUCUAUGUUGAAUUUUAAAUUUCAAUAAAAUUUAUUUCUUCACUAAUUUAAAUGCUCACAAGAUAUUUAAUUAAAUCAAAUUAAAUCCUAUUAAUUGAAAAUUAAAUUUUGGGUGUUACAGUAAAUGUGGUUUUGUUUUGAUCAUCACGGUGGAUAGGGAUUUGGUGAUAUCCUGAAUAACCAUCAAGAAAACAAAAUAAAGAAUGAUUGGCUAAACGCUCUAGCGUCUCAUCAAUGAAAGGUAGAGGAAAAUGAUCUUUCUUAGUUGCCUUGUUGAGUUUUCUAUAAUCUAUGCACAUUCGCCAUCCAGUGAUAGUUCUUUGAGGUAUUAAUUCAUUUUUGUCAUUUCGGAGAACUGUCAUUCCUCCUUUUUUAGGUACAACUUGUACAGGACUUACCCACUCACUAUGCGGUACAAGAUAUAUAAUCCCUGCAUGCAAAAGCUUUAAGACCUCUUUCUUUACUACGUCUCUCAUGGAAUUCUCGAGUCUCCGCUGAGGCUCUCUUGAAGGAGUAAUUUCUAGAUUGGUUGGUAUGCGAUGAGUGCAAAGAACAUGGCUAAUCCAUUUUAAGUCUUGGAGUGAAUAAUCAAAAGCAGCAUGGUGUUCUUCUAGAAUAGUUAUUAGUUUAUAAGUCUCCUCAUCAGAGAGUUUAUCACUAAUAAUCAUAGGAUAUUUUUGUUUAUUAUUUAGUGUGGGGGUAUAAACCCCUAUACCCUUACGGCUAGACUUCAGCCAGGAAGCUUGGCUCACUACGAGACGAGUUCAAGGCUUGAUCCGACAGCUCGGAGUUUCGCGCAAGGAAACAAGACGUGGAGAUCAAGCAGGAUUCUAGUCGGUUAGAAUAGGAAUUGAUAUCAAAUUAUCUAUGGCAAUUGUAACCGACUAGGAUUAGUUUCCAGAUCUGUAACCCUGCCCUCCAAACUAUAUAAGGAGGGGCAAGAGACCCCCCUAGGACAUCAUAUUCUCUCAGCACAAAUCAAUACAACCAGACGCAGGACGUAGGUAUUACGCCAACUCGGCGGCCGAACCUGGAUAAAAAGCUUGUCCGUGUCUUGCGUCACCAUCGAGUUCGUAGUUCGCGCACCGUCUACCGAUAAACUACUACCGUGGGUAUACCCCAAGGUAGACUGCCGACUAGCUUUCGUCGACAGUGGCGCGCCAGGUAGGGGGUGUGCGUGCAACUUUUCCGGCGAACAAGAUGGUCACGAUCCCAGCUUCCGCGACCGUGCCCGAAGGCCUCACGUUCACCGUCGGCCAGAUCACGUGGACGACGUGCAGUGGCGGCUUCGCGACCACGGUUCCGAAAGAGAUCCAGAUCCAAUCUGAGAUCACGCCGUCUCCGACCACACUCAUGACGGCACCAAGCUCCCGACCACCGUUCCCACUCUACAAGGGAAAGGAGAUCGACUGGUCGGACCUCCUCCAAGCGCUCGAUCGCGCUGACUCCAAGCUACUCGAAGUCUCCCAACUAAUAGAUGGAGUUCUGCGCCGGCCCGACCAAGCUGCUCGAGCGGAUUUUUCGAAAUCCCGCCGGCCAACUCGUGUCGCCACACACGAACGGCUGGGAACGUCCCUGACGAUAACCUCAACCCCCUCAGGACGAUCCGUCGAGCUCAAAAAGGAAGACUAUCCUUGCGGCCUGAACAACUCGGCCUCUGUUUACUCACAGCAUGUCCAAUCCGUUUUCAGCAAAGCGGGCUGGUCGCCGACAAGGAACAAUCGUCACCAUGUCAACAUGGUGACAAUCCGAGAGCUACGGGACGGCCAGGUUUCCAGCACCAACUCAAGCACCGGCUCCGUCCCCACCGAGGUUAUAAACACCGAAGCCGAGGGCUACGACCUGGAUUUUCCUUCACACCCUCCGGGUUUCGACCGAUUCCCGAUAUUCCCCCCCCCCCGGCGAGGGGAUAUCGUGUUCAAUGUCAGCGCCGACGAACCGGCUGUUGACGGAGAAACAGAUGACCAGAGGCAACUCCGCGAACAGCGUAACGCCGAUCGCGCCCGACGGCGUGCGGACGAGCAACAACAGAUGCCACCAAGUAACCUCAACGAUGCCUUCGACAUGGUCGGGGACCAGCCAGUCUACAAAACGCCAAGCGCCAACGUGGCUGUCGCCAUGGCCAACUUGGAUCGGCUUCCUGACACCCCCGAAUGCCAGGGAGUCCGGACCAGCAUCCGAGCACACCUGAUCGCCGCAAUGGGACAGACAGCCACUCUGCUCAAAAGAGUCCAGGACGUCUCUUAUACGGAAGCCGCCUCCGACCAGACUAAUCGUAGCCGGGCCUCACCCAGCAGGCGUCACCGCAGCCGCUCCCCCGACAACCGUCGAGGGGACUCACGGCGCGACGAUGGUGGUCGGGACGCCGAUGGCCGCCGCCAGCAGAACCACGUACGCGGCCAAGAAGAAGAAGAUCAACACAGGGAUCUCCGCCACAACAUCCCUCCCAAAGAUGCCCGGGACCGCAUCAACAGGCGCGCCGCAGAGAGAGCAGUCCACGAAAACCUGCGCCGCAUCGAGUACGAUGCGACCCACGGUCCUCCGGGCCUAAGGCAGUUCUCCUCACACCUCCGCCAGGUCGUGUGGCCCCGCAAUUUCAAGCUCGAAAAACUUAAAAAAUACGACGGCAAGGAAAAUCCAGAGAACUGGAUCACUCUCUAUGAAAUUGCCGUCCGAUCAGCGGCAGGAGAUGAGCACGUCAUGGCUAACUACUUCCCCGUAGUCCUCGACCAGGCUGGUCAUCAGUGGCUUCUUGGCUUGCCCGAGGACUCCUUCGACUCUUGGGAAGAGCUACGACAGGCUUUCAUCGACAACUUCAUCGCCACAUGCGAGCAGCCCGGAAACAAGUAUGACCUUGAAAGGAUAAGAGACAGGAAGAAUGAACCUCUGCGCGAUUACAUCCGACGAUUCUCGGAUAUGCGCCUCAAAAUCCCGAAGAUUUCUCAUGACGAGGCCAUAUCAGCCUUUAUCAAGGGCUUGCGUUUCCAUGAAGCGCUGAGGAACAAGCUGUUGCGUAAGCGCCCAUCAACGGUAGCAGAGCUCCUCGCCACGGCUAAAAACUACGCCGAUGCUGAUGACGCAGAAAAACUAAUCCGAGACGACGCGAGAGGCCCCGACCAGCCUUCUCGGCGAGAUGACGGUCGUGGUCGCUACGACAACAGAAAUCACCGCCGCUCCGACAACCGCGAUCACCGAGAGGGUUGGGAUCGGCGGCGCGACAGCCGCGACGACUUCAGAGGAAAGCGCCCUCGUGAAUACGACCACGAAGUAAAUACGGUCAAACGUCCCAACGGACGACGGGACUACCAAGACGACUACAACAAAACGUUGAAGGGACCGUGCCAGCUACACCCAAAGUCUAACCAUACCAUGGAAGAGUGUCGCGUCCUCAAAAGUAUCUAUACACGGCGGGCCACCCAAGAGGACCCCGCCAAGAAAAAUAACAAACGCGACGGGCACGACCACGAAGAUGAGGAUGAGGACCAAAACAGGGACCCCCGACACCAAUACGUCAGCCCCACCGACGUGGUCCACUCCAUUUUCGGGGGCAAGGUCUCCACUGAGUCCAAGCGAGAAAGAAAGCUGUUAAAGAGAGCCUGCCUCAACAUAGACAGCACGGACGGGCUGAUCGCAGAUCCAAAAUUUCCCGCGUGGUCCCACAGGGAGAUCUCGUUCAGCAGGAAGGACCAGUGGGCCGCCAUCCCAGAGCCGGGUCGUUUCCCACUGAUUCUUGAUCCCUGCAUCAAUAGCAUCAGAUUCGAGCGCGUGCUCGUGGACGGGGGAAGCUCCAUCGACAUCCUCUUCCGCAACAGCCUGCCCGCCCUCAAGAUAUCACCGGCACAACUAAAACCUUACGACGCCCAAUUCUGGGGGGUUUUGCCAGGUCAAAGUUCGGUGCCCCUCGGACAGAUAACAUUGCCUGUCCAAUUCGGCACACCCGAUCACUUCCGGACGGAGUUCAUCAACUUCGUAGUCGCGGAUUUCGACGGGACCUACCACGCCAUACUGGGCCGCCCAUCGCUGACAAAGUUCAUGGCAGUCCCGCACUACUCAUACCUAGUCCUUAAGAUGCCCACGGAGAAGGGUGUCCUAACCAUCAGAGGCAACGUCUACACUGCGUACACCUGCGAAGAAGAAAGCUUCAAGAUCACCGAGGCAAUUGACCUCUCGAUCCGCAUGGCGGAAAUAGCAAACCAAGCCGCACAGCUGCCUCCCGACUAGCUCCGAUUACCUGAACAGGAGACAGCCAGAAAGAAUUCGAAAUCCAAGGAGUAUAAAGAAGUGCAGCUGGUCGAAGGCAACCCCGAGAAGACAGCCCUCAUCGGGGCUAACCUGGAUCCAAAAUAGGAAGACGCGCUCGUCAGGUUUCUAAGGGAUAACGUGAGCGUUUUCGCAUGGAAACCCGCAGACAUGCCCGGUGUCCCACGAAACCUGAUCGAGCACUCCUUAAAUGUCUCGAAGACCGCAAGACCAAUCAAGCAAAGACUGCGACGGUUCGCUCAUGACAAAAAGGAGGCUAUUAGGACAGAAAUAACACGGCUUCUAGCAGCCGGAUUCAUAAAAGAAGUGUAUCAUCCCGAUUGGCUCGCCAAUUCGGUUCUUGUACGCAAAAAGAAUAAUGAAUGGAGAAUGUGCGUUGAUUACACCGAUCUCAACAAACACUGUCCUAAAGAUCCUUUUGGUCUUCCUCGCAUCGACGAGGUGGUCGACUCAACGGCCGGAUGCGAACUCCUCUCCUUUCUAGAUUGCUACUCUGGUUAUCACCAGAUCUCGUUAAAGGAAGAAGAUCAGAUCAAAACAUCCUUCAUCACACCCUUCGGCGCAUACUGUUACACUACCAUGUCUUUCGGACUUAAAAACGCCGGGGCCACUUAUCAAAGGGCCAUCCAGCAAUGCCUCCACGACGAGAUUCGCGAUGACCUCGUCGAGGCCUAUGUGGACGACGUGGUCGUAAAAACAAGGGGCGCGAGCACCCUAAUCGACAACUUAGACCGAACCUUCAAGGCACUCAAUAGGUACAAGUGGAAGCUCAACCCCAAGAAAUGCAUUUUCGGCGUUCCUUCCGGUCUACUGCUCGGCAACGUCGUCAGUCGCGACGGCAUACGACCAAACCCUUCAAAAGUCAAAGCCGUACUCGACAUGCGACCACCGAAGAACGUCAAGGAUAUUCAGAAGCUAACCGGAUGCAUGGCCGCCCUCAGUCGUUUCAUCUCAAGGCUGGGAGAAAAAGGCCUCCCUUUCUUCAAACUACUGAAAGCGUCAGAAAAAUUCUCUUGGACAGAGGAAGCCGACGCUGCGUUCGCUCAGCUUAAGACCUUCCUCACUUCACCGCCUGUCCUCACAGCGCCUCAGCCCAAUGAAGACCUACUCCUUUACAUUGCUGCAACCGACAGGGUUGUUUCCACGGCAAUAGUGGUCGAGCGAGAUGAACCAGGUCACGCCUUCAAAGUCCAGAGACCCGUUUACUUCAUAAGCGAAGUUUUAAACGAAUCCAAGGCCAAGUACCCACAAAUACAGAAGCUUAUAUACGCCAUCCUGAUAACGUCAAGAAAGCUAAAGCACUACUUCGACGGCCAUCGAGUCCUGGUGACAACCAGCUUUCCUCUCGGGGACAUCCUGCGCAAUAAGGACGCCAAUGGCAGAAUCGUGAAAUGGGCAAUGGAAUUAUGUCCAUUUUCCCUAGAGUUCCAGAGUCGCACCACUGUUAAGUCUCAAGCCCUGGUCGAUUUCAUUGCCGAAUGGACGGAUCUCAACGAGCCUUCUGUUCCAGAUGUCUCAGACCACUGGUCUAUGUUCUUUGAUGGGUCCUUGAACAUCAACGGUGCAGGCGCUGGGAUAUUGUUCGUAUCACCUAACAAGGACAAACUUCGUUACGUCCUUCGGAUCCUUUUUCCGGCGUCAAACAAUGUCGCCGAAUACGAAGCAUGCUUACAUGGCAUACGACUAGCCGUUGAACUGGGGGUCAAGCGCCUCUAUGUCUACGGCGACUCCGCUUUGGUCAUCAACCAGCUCAACAAGGAGUGGGACGCAACCCACGAGAAGAUGGAUCUCUACUGCAAAGAAAUUCGCAAAUGGGAAACUAACUUCUAUGGCAUAGAGUACAUCCACAUGGUCCGGGAUAAGAACCAAGCAGCAGAUGCGUUGUCAAAGUUAGGCUCAUCUCGGGCCCAAAUCCCGCGGGGUAUUUUCGUCCAAGACAUCCAUGAGCCGAGCGUAAGCUCCACCCUGGUCGACAAGCAACCCACCGAGGCAAUGCUCAUAGAUGACGCCACUCCGACAACCGGUGGGCGUGACUGGCGUACCCCGUUCAUCAAAUACAUAUCAGACGGGACAGGCUUUCAGGACAAAACAGAGAACGAGCGCCUCAUCCGACGAUCAAAGAACUACAUCCUGGUCGACGGAAAACUCAUGCGGAAAAACGCAAGCUCCGAGGUACUGCUCAAGUGCAUACCCCAAGAUGAUGGUAUCAAGCUCUUGGAGGACAUACACGCCGGAUCCUGCGGCAACCACGCCGCAUCUAGAACGCUGGUCGGAAAGGCUUUCCGAGCAGGUUUUUAUUGGCCAACCGCGGUCGGCGACGCAGAAAAACUGGUUCGGCAUUGCGAAGGAUGUCAGUUUUUCGCUAAGAGGACCCACGUACCUGCCCAUGAAAUUCAAACCAUCCCGUCGUCUUGGCCCUUUGCUUGCUGGGGGCUUGACAUGAUCGGACCAUUUAAACCAGCCCCGGGCAAUUUCAAGUUUGUCUUCGUGUUAAUCGACAAGUUCUCCAAGUGGAUUGAAUACAUGCCCCUGGUCAAGGCAACCUCCGAGAAGGCUGUGGAGUUCCUCAAUAAAAUCAUACACAGAUUCGGCAUCCCGAACAGCAUAAUCACCGACCUGGGCACUCAGUUUACUGGCACCACUUUUUGGGAUUUCUGCGAUGACAGAGGCAUAGUCAUAAAAUAUGUGUCAGUGGCACAUCCACGUGCCAACGGUCAAGUUGAACGUGCUAAUGGAAUGAUCGUUGACGCCCUAAAGAAAAGGUUGUACACCGAAAACGACAGAGCACCCGGUCGAUGGAUGAAAGAAUUGCCGGCAGUGGUCUGGGGCCUCCGAACUCAGACCAGUCGAAACACAGGGGUGUCUCCCUACUUCAUGGUGUACGGUGCAGAGGCGGUCUUGCCGUCUGACAUACACUUCGGAUCUCCUAGAAUCGAGCACUUCGACCAGGCGACCGCCGACAACGCCAGAGAACUCGAAAUCAAUUGCAUGGAGGAAAAGCGUUUAGUUUCGUGUCUCCGAACAGCAAAAUAUCUCGCAGCAGUCAGGCGAUACUACAACAGGAAUGUCAAGGACCGUUCCUUCGUGGUCGGCGAUCUGGUGCUUCGAUGGAAAACAAGCCAGUAGGGAAUGCACAAGCUGUCCACCCCCUAGGAAGGACCCUUCGUGGUGACCGAGGUCACACGACCUACGUCCUACAGAUUGGCAUACCCAGACGGAACACGAGUGCCUAACUCUUGGCACAUCGACAAACUGCGACGUUUCUAUCCAUAAAGUUUUAAUGACUUUCUUUUGUAAGUAUCUUAUAAUUUUUGAUAAUGAAAUUCUCUAUUUCUGGCCCAUACCUUGUCACACACAGCACUUGGCAAAACUCCUGCAACGGAUGCUCUUAGCGACAACCAAGACAAAUGCGGUGACACGUCACUCAGAUAUUCUUACAGCGCUCAAAACAACAGUCAUGACAAAAAGCAAACUUUAUUACAAACUUUACAUACAAAGUUUACAAUAAAUACCCUGACGGGCAAACACUAGUCUAUUCCUACAGACUACUUUAUUGGCCUAGCUGCUCGGGCUGAUCACCCGCCUGGCCCUGCUGCCCGGACGAAGGGGUCGGGGCCACCGGCGCCUGGCUGGUCGAGACCGCAGGCGUCGACCGCCCAUCUCCCGCAACGGACGCGCCCGACAACUCCCUGGCCGACCUAUCUGAGCUCGGCUGGUCUGGAGGAGUGGCCGUUCCGCACAGAUUGAUGUCGCCGAUCAUUGUCGACGACAAGUCCAGCAGAUUACCCCGAAGUUCGUCCGCUUCCUGUGGGCCGACUUCCUUCAGGUACCCCUUCUCCAGCCUGCUCAAGUCGACCAGGGGGUAGUGGGCGCGCACCAUGCUGAGGAUGUGCGCGCCGGCAAACUCCCCGGCGUCCUUCACAAACUGCUGGAGCCAGUCCCACGCCCGUUGCGCCUUCUCGACCGGGGUCAACUGCGGCGCGCGGGGCUGGCUCUCCGGGAGCUCGGGACUGAUCAAGUCUAGGACCGGGGACACUCCUUUCCAGAUCCUGCAACAGUUGACCUUCCAGGAGUCCCGGUCCUUGAUCAGGUCAUCCAGGUGCUUUUUGGUGUUCACCUUGAGCACUGCAAACGAAACGAAACGUUACUUUCGGCAUACCAGACAAGCAAAGGGGCAGGCAGCAACCAACAAGGCGGCACCCAUUACCAGCUAACUCCCGGUCUUUUCGACCCAAUUCCUCUUCUGCUCGCCGCCCGGACUCCUGCGCACCGGCGAGCUGUUGGCUGAGCUGCUCCUUCUCUUGUCGGAGGCUCGCCACCUCCUCCUCCAAGUCUGCGUGAAUCCUAAACUGGUCAGCAAAGCAAACUAUACAAGUACGCGAAGCUGCUCGGAGUGUGUGACUAACCUUCUUGCAGCCGGUACUGGUCGGCCAAACGACGAGCGAGGUCGAGACGACGCUCCUUUUCGGCACUCAUCUCGACCACCUUCUCCCCGACCUCCGCCCGCAACCGGUCUACCUCCGCGGCAAGGGCCUUGUUCUCGGCCAUGACGCUUUCUAUCUGGUCAAAGCACCGUUUCCGGUACUUCGCCGUUUUCAUUACGUCCUACAAAGCAAGCAUAUAACGACCAUGCAAGACAAGGCAAAAGAAUGCGCAGCAGCACAAAAAGCCGCUUACCUUGACUUCGUCGAUGAGGCGCUUGGCCGCGCGCUCCACCCUGGCGGCCUCUUCGGUCUCGGCGAGCUCCUCAUGCCCGAUAAAGUGAUCCCCGCGUUGGCGCCACACAUACACGUGUUGGCGGCCAUCACGGGGACGACCCUCGAUCUCUUCCACCUCAUCAUCCGAGGCCGCCCGGGUUUCCUCCUCCUGUGCUGCGUCACCCCCGGUGGUGGUCCCAGGCAUUACUGGCCCUUGGACCAGACCUGGGGAGCUCGCAGCCGAAGAGGCUCCUGCUCGGGGCGGCGGGGGGACUUCACUCCCCCCGGCAGGAGGAGCGGUCGGAGAUCUUCUCUUCUCCGAGGAGUCAGUUGGAGGAGCCUCUCCAGCCCUGGUCGGGCUGCUUGUUGUAGUCGGCGCCGCGCUCGGGAGCCCCUCGGUGCUCCCAGGCGCGACUGCAGCUGUUGGCUGCUCUGUGGUCUGGGGGGCCGCAUCCCCAGAACCGCGGGCAGGCUCGCCCGUUCCCUGGCUGGCAGUUUGACCAGGGUCGACAUCCGAUGCCGCACUACAGGAACAAAAGUUAAAAAAAAAAGAGGAGUCCAAAAUACGUAAGUCGAACACUUACAGGUCUGACCGACGGUGGGUCGCGGUGAACCUCCUCCUCGCCCGGCCGGUCGGCACCUGUGCCCCCGUCUCGACAACUUGCGGGGCAGCGGCGCCGCUGGCCACUCGAUCAGUGGCGACCGGCGCAGUGUCUGGGCGGCUCCGAGGCCGUCGGACCAACGACGGCGCAGCCUCCUCGUCGUCGACGAUCCGCACGAGCCGACGACGCUUCGGUGCUUGGCUGCUCUCCGCCGGUAGAUCUGCCGGCAGCUCCGGUGUCGGCAAGGGAUCUGCCGGCAAUGGCCUUUUCCCCGCUACCCUCUCCUCGGAGGUCGGGACGGGGCGGGCUCGGUCUUCCUCACUGCUGGUGUAAUGAGUACACCGAGCAGCGUCCUCCUCUGGCGGGACCUCUCCCACAGGAUUUUCCAUCCCCGGUGCCAGUGAUACAUACACUGCGCACCGGUCGACAUCACCGACCUGCAAAAGCAACAGAGCUGAGUCAACUGCAGACGAUAUACGAAUGAUCAAACAGAAUCUGCUACAUACCUUUGGUGCUGGUCGUCCUAACUUAAAGGCUUCCACCCGAUCACUGCCACGGAUGAAGCCCCCAUCCGCGAAGUUAAACAGCUCGUUCAACAGCUGUUGUACCUCCGCUUUCUCCAAGAUCUCCAACCGCAUCCUGGUCGGAUCUGCGCUUCCGGCAUACUCGUACGCCGAGUGCACCCUCUUCUGGCAGGGCAUCACCCGGCGGCAAAUGAAGUUGCCGACCACGCCAAGCCCGUCUAGGCGCGACCAGUCGAUCAGCUUCAUGAGAUCCGCCACUGGACCGUCGAACUCCGGGCGGUCGGUCCAGCUCGCCCUCUUCUCGGGAACGUAUCCCACGUCGCAGAACGUGGAGCUACCCGGUUCCUCCCUGAUGUAGAACCACUUCCUGUACCAUUCGGUCAAGGAAGUGUUCCAUGGGCAGUGCAGGUAGCGAUUCUUCAUCCCAUCACGAAGGUUGAGGUAUACUCCACCUGCAACCUUGGAGCCUCCAACUGCUCCCUUCUUCCUCAAGCAGAAAAGAUACCGGAAAAGAUCGAAGUGCGGCUCUAUGCCAACAUAGGCCUCGCACAGGUGGAUGAAGGUGGAAAUAAGGACAAUUGAGUUCGGGUGCAGAUUGCAAAUCCCGAUCUCAUAGUACAAAAGAAGACCUUGAAGAAAAGGAUGAACAGGAACACCAAAGCCUCUCUUAACGAAAUCUUCAAAAACGACGAUCUCACCGGCGCGAGGGUCGGGGUAGCUCUCCCCCUCCGGUGCCCUCCAGCCACCGAGCUCUGCGCCGUGCAGAAGCCCCAUAUCGACGAGGUCACCAAGAGAUUUUGUGGUGCUGCGAGACUUCUUCCAUUCCUUGGCCAUCAGUUCGGCCCUCUUCCUGGAGUCGCUCUUCGCCAUUAGAGGUGCGAAUGUGGGCUGGAGUUAGGAAGAUGCAGGAGAUUGGAGAAGAUGAGAGCGGAAGGUUUGAAGGCAAUGGCAGGCGAAGCGGUACAGGAGGACCUAUUAGGCCCUUAUAAACCCGCGACUCCACCUCUCCCACUUCCUGUAUUCUCGGGAAGUGGGCAGGCCGUGCGGCGGACGCGGCGUUUCGGUUUACAAUGAUUAUAGACAAUUAAUGCGGCGGAGUUUUCGUACCAAUUAAUGGUUUCCUUUUCUCAAACCAUGCAAAGAGCGGUUGUACAGUUGCCAGGUGCAACUUUUCAUGCAUCCGUCUGACAUAUCGUCAGGAGACCUUGUCACGUCAACUUUAACUGGAAAGAUCUUUUCAAAAGUAAGAAGACACAUACGCCAGUGAGUCAACAAUCCGGGGACUGCACCGACCGCCGAGCACUCGACGCUCGAGGACUGGUCGCCCAGUCUAACAGCUCGGAACUCCGGGGACUGCACCGACCACCGAGCACUCGACGCUCGGGGACUGGUCGCCCAGUCUAUCAGCUCGGAACUUCAAGGACUGCACCGACCACCGAGCACUCGACGCUCGGGGACUGGUCGCCCAGUCUAUCAGCUCGGAACUUCAAGGACUGCACCGACCACCGAGCACUCGACGCUCGGGGACUGGUCGCUCAGUCUAUCAGCUCAAAGCUUUAAAGUAUGCAUCGACCACUGAGCACUCCACGCUCGGGGACUGGUCGUACAGUAUAGCAACAUAUAAUUCCAAGAAGCACACUAAGUGCUUGGGGACUGGUCGAUUGGUCUUUUCAAUUGCAGGCGAGCAUGACAUGGUCGGGGACUGGUAAAUUCACUUUAGACCUUGCUACAAGGCUCAUAAUUCGCCUUCCAGCAAGCUCGGGGACUACAUCGGUACGAUGCAUCUAGCGAUGCAUCUCAGUCUCAAAACUACUUUGGGGAAUUUUCUUUUGACCCUGGCACCACGUGCCUACGUCACCUACUACCAGGCUCGGGGACUAAGUGGGCACACUUCACCUAGCGGUGAAUUUGUUUGCUUUUUUGAUGCUUUUAACUUUCAAAAAGGUAAAGUGGGCACACUUCACCAGGAAAGAAAUUUUUUUUAAGAGCACCAUGCAUUCUUCGAACAACCUGCUUCUUCGAUGUCAAUGUUGAUCAACUGUCUUUCGAGUUGGUCAAGGAACCGUUGCAACUGCUUGGGCGAUCUCCCCACUUAUUGAAGACGCCAAGCCUCGCUGAUCGAAGAAGCUCAAGACGGCGUGUUGCAUCACAAUACAUGGUGCUCGGGGACUAGCUGUGGGGGUAUAAACCCCUAUACCCUUACGGCUAGACUUCAGCCAGGAAGCUUGGCUCACUACGAGACGAGUUCAAGGCUUGAUCCGACAGCUCGGAGUUUCGCGCAAGGAAACAAGACGUGGAGAUCAAGCAGGAUUCUAGUCGGUUAGAAUAGGAAUUGAUAUCAAAUUAUCUAUGGCAAUUGUAACCGACUAGGAUUAGUUUCCAGAUCUGUAACCCUGCCCUCCAAACUAUAUAAGGAGGGGCAAGGGACCCCUCUAGGACAUCAUAUUCUCUCAGCACAAAUCAAUACAACCAGACGCAGGACGUAGGUAUUACGCCAACUCGGCGGCCGAACCUGGAUAAAAAGCUUGUCCGUGUCUUGCGUCACCAUCGAGUUCGUAGUUCGCGCACCGUCUACCGAUAAACUACUACCGUGGGUAUACCCCAAGGUAGACUGCCGACUAGCUUUCGUCGACAAAAAACAUAUUUAAGUCCAGAAGGUAGUGGUUUAAGCUCAAUGGGGGGGGUUAAGUGGCUCUAGUAAUUCAUCAAGAGGUUCAGGAUCAGUAAGAUCCUCUUCCUCUUCUUCCAUGAAGAACUAGGUAUCAUCUUCUAAAUCAGGUUGACUAAAAUUAUUGGAUUCGAAUGACUUAACCUCUUCUAUUGGAUCUAAUUCAGGAAGGAGGGUUCUGCUUUAACUUUUACUGUAUGAGUUAUAGGCAUUGAAAAACUAAAUCCUUUCCCAAAUUUAAUAUCUAAUUUACCAUUACGAACUUCUUGAAGAAGUUUUAUUAUGGGUAACUCCAUUCAUUACAUUAAAAUCCCACACAUCAAAUAUAUAAAAAUUUAGCAAAAUGUGGAAAUCAUUGAUAACAAUAGGAAGUGCACUCAAAACUCCUAAGCUAGGAAUAAUAUGUCAUGAACAACUUUUUAAUAAUUUAUUUAUAGGAAUUAAUGGUAUGUCUUUCAAGAAUUCUUUAGAAAACUAGCAUAUGCCCAUGCGUUGCUAUGGGAAUUUUAAAAAAUUCAAUAAAAUUCAACAUAAUAAAAGUAAAGAAAUGGUAGAUUAGGAGUCUUAAAUUUUCAAUUUUUAAAGGACUCUCAAAUUUUCAAUUUUCAACACGGUAAAAGUAUCAAAAAAUAAUGGGUCAAAAUAAAGAUAAAUAAACUUUAACUUGGCUUAGCAACAUAAUGUUUCGAGCCACAUUCAAAUACAUAAACAUCAAGUUUAGUAACAAUGUUCCCAAACAACAAUGUGCAAUUGAGAUAAUAAUAGUCAAAACAUCUAAAGUGGCUAGAACUUUCUCUACUUCUAAAAGGGUUCUAAAAAUAUAUCUCUGAUGGCCAAAAGCUAUUCGGUCCACAAGUUUGAUAUUUCAGCUCCCUGUAAUCGGCUUGCGUGCCCCGAGCAGCACCCCUUUACUCUACCUUGCCUUGACAUCCUGCCACCACCAUUUUCUCUUAGAAUUAACAUUUAUAAAUAAACUAUUAAAUAAAUUAAAUAAAUGUAAUAAACAUGGGACACUACCUUAGUCAUGGAGUUAACACCUCUUUAUAGACGAUAUUUUUCGUGUAUGUACCAUUUUUCAUUGCGAUUUUUUUCUUCCCUUUCUUCAUAUCCUUUUCAACUGGUGGAACCGUCAAGAUCCUGAUGUUCGAUCUAGUUGUGGCUCUAGAUAGCGCUACAUACAACUGACCAUGUGAGAACACUGGUUCAGGCAAGUACAGUCCGACAUUUGGGAUAGUUUGUCCUUGUGCUUUGUUGACAGUCAUGGCAAAGCUUAGUCGAAUGGGAAACUACUUUCUCUUGAAAUGGAAAGGGAACAUCUCGUCAUCAGAUGGACAUAAGGGUAUGCGAGGAAAGAAAACACGUUUUCCAGCAUGUUGCCCCAAAACUAUUUUUGCAUCGAUGGUAUUCUUUUGGAACCCAUGUACGAUCAACCUCGUACCAUUGCAAAGUCCGUUUGCGGGGUCGAUGUUUCUAAGCAAUAUAACCGGGCAACCAAUCUUUAGCUUUAACACAUGUGGAGGUAGACCAUUUGGGGUCAAAGUGUUAAGGAACUCCGGAGGGUAGUAGUUGUUUGGAUCAUCAACGGCAAAGUCAAAGCUAUGGUACACCAUCUCGUCCCCUUGAAAAUGACUUAUCAUCCUCAUGUUAAUCAUAUCCACACAGUCAUUCUAUGUAGAUAGUAUUGCUCGCGAAGUGAUGUAAUUUCUCUUUGUCAUGUUCUCAUUGAGCUCUGGGAAAAUACAAUCUAUUAGAGUAUCGAGAUCACCAUCCUCCCCAGUAUGUGGCACACAUAUCCCAUCAGGAAGACGAAUGUCACCAUCACCAUUGGACUCCUCAGAUCCACCACCGACACGUAAAAGGUACUCUGCAAACCACGGGUCACUUUGUGCCCUCAUGUUGCACACCAGUUUGAGGUGUCGCAUGGAUUUCCAAAGGUAUGACAUCCGCAAUGAGGCACCAACAAUUUGGGCCCUUGACCCCCUUCGAACAAUAGGGAGGACUUGCCUAAAAUCUCCACCAAACACCACUGUCUUCCCCCCGAAUGGUAGGUCGGGUUGGUCCAUUAUAUCACGAAGGCUAUUGUUUAGCGCCUCGACAGCUUGCCUCUUUGUCAUGGAAGCCUCAUCCCAAAUAAUAAGAGAUGCAGUCUGAAGAAGCUUGGCAGUGCCACUUUGUUUAGUGAAACUACAAAAAGCUCCAUCAUCGAUGGUAAGAGGAAUCUUGAAGCGCGAGUGUGCGGUUCUGCCGCCGGGCAUUAUGGAUGCUACAACGCCAGAUGUAGCUGUUGCCACAGCAGUCUUGUUUUGACUAUGUAUAGUUGCAAGAAGGGCCUUGUACAAAUAAGUUUUACCCGUGCCACCAGGUCCAUCAACGAAGAACAACCUCCCAUGUUUGGUAUUAAUAGCAGACAUAAUCUCAUCAUAGACAGCCUGUUGCUCCUCAUUAAGUGUGUCUGAAAGAGCGAUGUCAUCAAUGCUGGCCUCAAUGCUUGCCUCCUCAAAAAUCUCCCUGGGGAUAUCAUUGUAGGUGUCAUAUGUGUCAUCAAUAUCAGGAAGUGAGAACGUCUUUAUGUCCUUAUGCAUUGAUUGUAAUAUUUUCCUAAUAUCUAUAAGCAUCAUCUGCUCCACUGCAAAGUUGGAUUGAUUAUUGCAUCGAUAGUCCUCUGACAUUGCCUCCUUGUAUUUAUCCCAAAGUCCGAACACAUUGCUCGGCUGACAGAAUACCAAUAUUGUAGCAAACAGUCGUCGUAGUGCAUAUGGCAUCAUCCACUGAGUAGCUUCAGCAAGGCUCUCAUCUAGUGUGUUGUCUGCUUCAAUCAGGGCCCUUCUUUCUGCUGCUUCACGAAAGGUUGGAAGGGUCACUCCAUCAACGGUCCUUAGAUCAUCAAAGGAUGUAGCACCAGCCACAUGGUUUAGAAGAACCCUAAGAUAAUAGCGUUCCCCCUCGGCCGAAUUAGCAGAGACGAUUCUUCCAACUUGUCCUUCCAUUUUUGUUGCCCUCUCAUUCCAUUCUCUACCCAUUGCAACCCAUGUAUAAAACUCAGGUAAGUGUCGGUACAAGAUACCUCGAGCUUUCUCAUCUAUCAUAUUCUUCUCAAAAUACGCCGUAAGCAUUGUCCUUUCAACACCUGGACGAUUGAGCACUCGUCUAACACCCUCACGCUGGUGAAAUGAUACCGUGUGCAUGUCUGGAAGAUUGUUGACGGUCCUUAAUGCUCACAUUUAACCAUUAAUUAAUCAUGGAAAAGGAUCCAAAUGUAAUCAACAUCCAAAAUUAGUGUUUUAUCUGACAGAAUUUCACGAGUUUUGGUGUUUGUCUAUUUCUGUAGGGGGUUAUCAGGAAAUACGGAAGAAAGGCCCACACGUCGGGUUUACAUAGAGAUAUUAAUGUGCCGCGUAAUUUUCUACCAUCUAGAAGACCCCAGAAGCCACGGGAACAAACGGGAAGGCGAUCGGGCUCGGAGGCAGGGCGCCCGCCCUACUCUCCUGGGCGCCCGCCCUGCUACAGUGCCCAAUCUAGGUCAACUUCGUGGAUCGUGCUCCACCAACUCUAAGGAUCAAGGAAAAUCACACGAUUAAGGUCGGUUUGAUCGGAUGGUGGAGAAUAACGUGGAAAUUCCUUGGGAGCUACUCUUCCUAGAUUUCUUGGGAGCUACUCUUCCUAGAUUUCUUGGGGGCUACUCAUCCUGGACUAUAUAAGCAGACCCCCACCAGCCCCUAGAGGCAUACCUCUUCUACAGAAUCAAAGCUAGGGUUUCCAUUCUUCAUCCAAGUAAAGAGGAUCCCUCUAUUUCUUCUAGUUCUACCUCUAGUUCAUCUAGAUCUAGUUCUAGUUCAUCUAGUUCUAGUUCUAGUUCCUCUAGUUCUAGUUCUAGUUAGUUCUAGUUGUAAUCUAGAAAAUAGGGAGAGAGAAGAGGAGAGUGGAGGAGGAGGAGCCGGAUUUGUCGGAUCUUCCUCAACAUUGUACUUUUGCAGCAACUGGUUCGUUCUUCAUCGUUCUCUAGGUUCUUCAAUUCAUAAUUCCUGAGUUCUUUAAUUACUUUUAUUUACAUUCAAGUUAUUUAUUGGAUUCCCGCUUGCAUCAAGUGCUCUAAUCUUUGCAACAUUAGAGUAGUAAUUAAUAGAUUAGAUGUGGUGUUUAGUAUUGCAAUUACCUGGAAUUGCACCCAAUCCUGCGGAUUGUUGUGGUAGCCUUAGGGUAGUGACAGCUCUAACGGUCGACGUAUUCCACCUCGUUCGGAUUGGUGUUUGUAGGACCGUAGUCAGACCUUCCUAGCCCCCUUCUCAUCUCUUUCUGUGGUUAGUGCUCUGAUGUCCCGAUAUAUAUAAUUUUGAAGUAAUCCUUGAUUCUUAGAUCAACUAGAGAACUCUUAGGAAACUUCCUCUCUUCCCACCAAAAAUAAUUAUAUAGUUAUCACUCCUAUCUAUAAAUUCUUUGCUCAAAAGGGCGAGUUAUUAGAGCCACCACCAUCAUCACAUCCAAUUCUUACAGAUGGCUACGACCUCGGCCCUGAUCUAAUAGCCAUGAUUCAGGAGCAACCCUUCUCUGGGCAAGUAGAUGAAGAUCCGUACACCCACCUUAGAGAAUUCGAGCAGUUGUGCUCUUGCCGAUCUAUUUCUGGCAUGACGCAAGAAACCCUUAAAUGGAAAUUAUUUCCGUUCUCCCUUUUGGGAAGAGCAAAAAAGUGGUAUGCUCAUUCUGUAGGAGGCGUUAAUGGAAGUUGGGAUGAACUUCGGAACAACUUUUGUCUCGCUUUCUUCCCACUUUUUUGAAUCGCUGACCUUAGAAUCGAAAUUCUUACAUUCAAACAAAGAGAGAAGGAAACUUUAGGAGCAGCUUGGGCUAGGUUCACAAGCCUUACCAAUUCCGGUCCUAACCUUUCCCUGCCUAACCAUGUACUGUACUACCACUUUUAUCGUGGUCUAAACAAGGAAGCUGCUCUUCACCUCGAUAUUGCUUCAGGAGGCUCAUUCACACACAAACUCACAGAUGAGGGGAGAGCUAUCCUAGAAAGAAUCCUUGAAAAUACCCCUUACACAGGCAUUUAUGAUGAGUUUCCUGAAGAAGAAAAAGAAGUCGAGCCUGAUCCUAAACCAAAAGAUGAGGAACUUGCAACCGAGUUAGAAAUUCCACCUGACCCACCUAUUAAUUUGGUUGUAGAGAAACCUCCUGAUAAAGGAAUGCAAAACCAACUAAGGGAUGAUGAACCACCACCUUUAGAGCAUCCCUUUGAAUUUGAGGAAGAUCUUUUUGAAGAUUAUGGAAACACCUCGAAUUUCCCUAUCCAAACACGACCUCUAGCAAGGACCACUCAAUCCAUUCUAAGAGUAGAAUCUGUUGACAUAGAACACAUCAAAAGCCUUUCGGCUAUUCUGAGUUAUGAAUGGCUAACAGAAGCUGAGCUGCCUCCUGAGGUAGCUCGGAUCAUCACUCCUUCAACCAUUCUUCUAUGCCAAAUUAGACGGUCCACUAGGAAGGUCCACUACAAUCCAUAUGUUGGGAUAAAUGUUAUUUCCAAGGAGUUAGCUGACACUCUCUAUCCUAACGAGUCCAUAACCCCAUCCCAAAAACUUUUACAAAGUCAAUCUGGAUUAAUUCUAGAAAGCCAUGGGGUAUUAAGGGCAGUUCCUGUUAGAAUCAAGGACUCUGGAAUAUGUCUAGAUUUUCAUAUUGACGACAUACUGGAGAUUCUUCUCUUGAUUGGUAGACCAAUCAUGAAACUUCUACACGAACAACCACAACGAGGUCAUUUAGACUUCAAAGUUGGGAAUUCCACUAUUGUUGUUCCUCUAGCUAGAUCAAUUUACACGAUAGUGGAACCCAAACUUGACCCAGAUCCUAUUGAGGGGAUCUUAAUGGUGACUCAAGAGGAGAUGACCCAACCAUUCUUUAAUCAUGAACACUUUGUUCAAGAAGAAGAAGAGUUGGUAGAACCCGUUGAGCUAGACAAAAAUGAACUACCUUCACCUCCUUCGAUAGAAUUAAAACCACUUCCUUCUGGCCUUAGAUAUGUCUUCCUGCACAAUAACCCAGAAACUCCGGUAAUUAUCAGUGACAAGCUUUCCGAUUAUGAAACACAACAACUUGUCACUGUUCUUGAAAGACAUAGAUCAGCAUUUGGCUACUCUCUUGAGGAUCUCACAGGCAUUAGUCCCAUUCUCUGCACUCAUCGUAACCCUAUUGAUCCCAAUUCUACACCUUCAAGGGAACCACAACGGAGACUUAACAAUGCUAUGUGAGAGGUUGUUAAGAAAGAGGUCCUCAAACUCUAUCGUGCUAGGAUUAUUUAUCCUGUGCCACAUAGUGAGUGGGUUAGCCCUGUCCAAGUAGUGCCAAAGAAAGGAGGAAUGAUGGUCGUUAGGAAUGAGAAGAUUGAACUCAUCCCUCAACGAAUUGUCACUGGGUGGCGUAUGUGUAUUGACUAUCGAAAACUCAACAAGGCUACAAAGAAAGAUCACUUUCUGUUACCCUUCAUUGAUGAAAUGUUGGAACGGCUUGCAAACCACUCUUUCUUUUGUUUCCUUGAUGGUUAUUCUGGAUAUCACCAUAUCCCAAUCCACCCAGAUGACCAAGAAAAGACUACCUUUACAUGCCCAUAUGGAACUUAUGCAUACCGACGAAUGUCGUUCGGUUUGUGCAAUGCUCCAGCUUUUUUCCAACGGUGCAUGAUGUCUAUUUUCUCGGACAUGAUUGAGAAGAUCAUGGAGGUUUUCAUGGAUGAUUUUACCGUCUAUGGCAAAACCUUCGAUCAUUGUUUGGAGAAUUUAGAUAGAGUCUUGCAGCGAUGUGAAGAACAGCACUUAAUCCUAAACUGGGAGAAAUGUCAUUUUAUGGUUCAGGAAGGAAUAGUGCUAGGACAUAAAGUGUCCGAACGUGGUAUAGAGGUGGACAAAGCAAAGAUUGAAGUUAUUGAAAAACUUCCACCUCCCACGAAUGUGAAAGGAAUCUGUAGCUUUUUGGGACAUGCAGGGUUCUAUAGACGCUUUAUCAAGAAUUUCUCUCAAAUUGCUAGACCCCUAACUAGUCUCCUAGCUAAGGCUGCACCUUUCAUCUUUAGUGAUGGGUGUCAUGAAUCUUUUCAAACUCUUAAGAAAGCACUCAUCUCAGCCCCGAUUAUCCAACCACCUGAUUGGAAUCUUCCUUUUGAGAUCAUGUGUGAUGCUAGUGAUUUUGCGGUUGGUGCCGUUUUAGGACAAACCAAGGAUAAAAAGCAUUAUGCCAUAUCCUACGCUAGUAAAACCUUGUCUGGACCACAGCUCAAUUACACUACAACUGAAAAAGAGCUUUUGGCUGUUGUCUUUGCUAUAGACAAGUUUAGAUCUUACUUAGUGGGGGCAAAGAUAAUCAUCUAUUCAGACCAUGCUGCUCUCAAGUACCUCCUCACUAAGAAAGAUGCUAAGCCUCGUCUAAUUCGAUGGAUUCUUCUACUCCAAGACUUUGACAUAGAAAUCCGAGAUAGGAAGGGAGUAGAGAAUUCCGUAGCCAACCACUUGUCCAGGCUUCAAUAUAAGGAAACACAUGAUGAACUUCCCAUAAAUGACUACCUAAGGGAUGACACCCUACUUAAGAUAACACAUGCAGAUCCAUGGUACGCAGACAUCGUAAACUUUAUAGUAAAAGGCUAUGUCCCACAUGGUGCAAACAAAAGGAAGUCGCUUCACGAUAGUCGUUUCCACCUUUGGGAUGAGCCAUAUCUUUUUCGAGUCUGCGCUGAUGGACUCUUGAGAAGGUGUGUUCCUAUGGCUGAGGCUACUCAAAUUAUGAAAAGAUGCCAUGCCUCACCAUAUGGGGGACACUACGGAGCAUUCCGAACACAUGCUAAAAUCUGGCAAAGUGGCUUUUUCUGGCCAACAAUGUAUCAAGAUACAAAGGACUUUGUCAGGAGAUGCCACCGAUGUCAAAAACAUGGGAAUAUCAACUCACAAAAUGAAAUGCCUCUCACAAAUAAUCUUCAAGUAGAACUUUUCGAUGUACGGGCAUUGAUUUCAUGGGGCCAUUCCCUAUGUCCAGGAAUUGCGAGUAUAUCUUAGUAGCUGUGGACUACGUGUCCAAAUGGGUAGAAGCCCUACCUUGUAGAUCAGCUGAUUCAAAACAUGCCAAGAGAAUGUUCCAUGAAGUAAUCUUUCCUCGCUUUGGUAUACCCCGGAUAGUUAUAAGCGAUGGAGGUUCCCAAUUCAUCGACAAAAUCUUCCGGAAGUACCUAGCCGAUCAUGGAGUUCGACACAACAUCGCAACACCAUACCAUCCUCAGACUAGCGGUCAAGCCGAAACAUCUAACAAACAAAUCAAAAAUAUUUUACAAAAGACCGACCGUAGAUGAGAUGGGUAAGGGGUGGAAGGACAAACUUCCUGAUGCACUUUGGGCAUAUAGAACUGCAUUCAAAACACCCAUAGGCAUAUCGCCUUAUCAACUUGUAUAUGGAAAAACUUGUCAUCUGCCUGUGGAAGUAGAGUUUAAGGCUCAUUGGGCACUCAAGAAAUGGAACAUGGAUCUCCACCUCGCUAGCGAGAAUCGUCUGAUGCAACUAUCUGAGCUAGAAGAAUGGAGAGAGAAAGCCUACCACAAUUCAAGGAUCUAUAAAGAGAGAACAAAAUGAUCGCAUGAUAAGAGAAUCAAGCACAAAGAGUUUAAGCCUGGAGAUAAGGUUCUACUAUUCAAUUCAAGAGUUAAACUCUUUGGGCAUGGUAAGCUAAGAAGUAAAUGGGAUGGACCAUACAAGGUUAUUGACACUUCAACACAUGGAGCCAUUACCAUCCAAGACGACAUAGGUAACACUUUUAAGGUAAAUGGUCAACGCUUGAAAAUCUAUCUCAAGCCACAAAACAGCCCGGUAGAGGAACUUGAUGUGAUUGAGUUCAUAGAAUUCUCAUAUUAAGCUCUUGUAAGCUCUAGACAAUUACCUAACCCUUAAUAUGCUCCACAAGUUUUGUUGUCUAUUUGGGUUGUGCAGGAUUUUGAGGCUUAAGAAGAGUAAGACCAAACAUGCAAGCCACAAGAGUGAACGACUAUGUCACCAUCCAGCUUGGGGGAGGCACCCCCACGUGUAUCUAGAUAAGUAUUAAUUUUCUUUCUUGGUUUUAUUUACUAGUAUUCAGAAAUAAAUAAAUAAAUAAAUAAAUGCAUAACCAUGAAACCAAACAAAGAAUUUCUUUUGAGUAAUAAACAAUAGUUUUGUGUAAUCCUAAGUUUUAAAUAAAAUAAAAAGAAAGUUUGAUCCAAGUCUAGGUAAUUGACAAACAUGAUAUGAUAAGGUCUGAGCUGCUAUUUAACUUGUUCCAAGUUUUGCUAGAGUUCUGGAGAUUUUAUCUUUUUAAAAUCUAAAAAUUCAAAGAAAAAAUGAUGAGAUCCUGUUUGACAUAAUACCUAGAGUCUUAUAAGAUAUAAAUAUUAAAACUGUGGGCACUUGCUUUGUUCAAGCCAUUGUUAAUUCUUGUAGUUUUGGUUGAGAGAAUUAUCGUGCUCCAAAGAUCAAGAUCUUUUUGUUUUAAAAAUAUAAAAGAUUCACUCUUCCAAAGUAUUAUUGCGUUAGAGGCAUGGGACUAUGCAAAAAUUUGAUUCGAAAAAAAAAGAGUGAGACGAGAGGUAAAAAUGGAGAAGUGUCCAAAGUAGAAUUAGGGGUACAAAGAUACCCACCUGAGUAGAAAAAAAUGGACACGUGUCCGAUAGUAGAAUUAGGGGUACUUGGUGUCCAUUUCAAAAAAAAAAGAAGAGAAAAAGAGAAAAAAAAUGAUAGCCCAUGGUCCCUCUAAUAAGCAAUAUGCCAGUAAGAGAUGACAAACUAUUCAAAAAGGUCAAAGGACUUGAUCUAGGAGUAUGACAUUUGUCUCCCUUACUCUGAGCAUUGACAUAGCAAAAUGCAAAGUAAGUAUGCUAAAACUUUUAAAGCUCUACUUAUAAAUCUUUCGAGCAGAAGACAAAUGCCUCAAUUUUAUUUUGCAGACUUAUAAAAACUCCAGAACAAAGGUAAGACAAAAGAACUUGAGACAUAGUGCUUGACUUGAUCGUUCUGUUUUUCAAUCACUUAAGACCUUAGUGAAAACUUAAAAACACUGUAGUAAGAGGCAUACAAGUAACCCCUGUUUUCCUGCUGAUUUUAGCUUUGCUCAGGGACAAGCAAAGGUUAAGCUUGGGGGAGCUUGUUGACGGUCCUUAAUGCUCACAUUUAACCAUUAAUUAAUCAUGGAAAAGGAUCCAAAUGUAAUCAACAUCCAAAAUUAGGGUUUUAUCUGACAGAAUUCCACGAGUUUUGGUGUUUGUCUAUUUAUGCAGGGGGUUAUCAGGAAAUACGGAAGAAAGGACCACAUGUCGGGUUUACAUAGAGAUAUUAACGUGCCGCGUAAUUUUCUACCAUCUAGAAGACUCCAGAAGCCACGGGAACGAACGGGAAGGCGAUCGGGCUCGGAGGCAGGGCGCCCGCCCUGCUACAGUGCCCAGUCAGGGUCAACUUCGCGGAACGUGCUCCACCGACUCUAAGGAUCAAGGAAAAUCACACGAUUAAGGUCGGUUUGAUCGGAUGGUGGAGAAUAACGUGGAAAUUCCUUGGGAGCUACUCUUUCUAGAUUUCUUGGGAGCUACUCUUCCUAGAUUUCUUGGGGGCUACUCUUCCUGGACUAUAUAAGCAGACCCCCACCAGCCCCUAGAGGCAUACCUCUUCUACAGAAUCAAAGCUAGGGUUUCAAUUCUUCAUCCAAGUAGAGAGGAUCCCUCUAGUUCUUCUAGUUCUACCUCUAGUUCAUCUAGAUCUAGUUCUAGUUCAUCUAGUUCUAGUUCUAGUUCCUCUAGUUCUAGUUCUAGUUAGUUCUAUUUGUAAUCUAGAAAAUAGGGAGAGAGAAGAGGAGAGCAGAGGAGGAGGAGCCGGAUCUGUCGGACCUUCCUCAACAUUGUACUUUUGCAGCAACUGGUUCGUUAUUCAUCGUUCUCCACGUUCUUCAAUUCAUAAUUCCUGAGUUCUUUAAUUACUUUUAUUUACAUUCAACUUAUUUAUUGGAUUCCCGCUUGCAUCAAGUGCUCUAAUCUUUGCAACAUUAGGGUAGUAAUUAAUAGAUUAGACAUGGUGUUUAGUCUUGCAAUUACCUAGAAUUACACCCAAUCCUGCGGAUUGUUGUGGUAGCCUUAGGGUAGUGACAGCCCUAACGGUCGAUGUAUUCCACCUCGUUCGGAUCGGUGUUUGUAGGACCGUAGUCAGACCUUCCUAGCCCCCUUCUCAUCUCUUUCUGUGGAUAGUGCUCUGAUGUCCCGAUAUAAAUAAUCUUUGAAGUAAUUCUUGAUUCUUAAAUCAACUAGAGAACUCUCAGGAAACUACCUCUCUUCCCAGCAAAAACAAUUAUAUAGUUAUCCUUGGGCGAUCCUGAUUCUUAAUUAGUACACUCACAUUCUCUGUGGAAAAUCGAUACUCUAGAAUACUCCCGGGUGAAAGCUACAUUGGUAUCCGUGCGCUUGUCGAUUUUUCUGUUUGCGUUUAAAAUACCCAACAAAGAUGGAGUUGCAAAGACAACACAGAAGGGGACCUAUCACUCAAAUCAAACCCUUAUAUCCUCCGCAAGGCUUCUGGAGUGGUCACCCACCUAACAUCUCUAUAUUGUUUGAUCUCAUCAAUGUUUCCUUCAUUGUCACCCUUGUCUGCCUCUCUCAAAGCCACAGAUGCUCGAUCAUGACCCAUGUAAAUGUACUUAAAUAGGUACUUAACAGCCUUGAUGCUCCCACAUGCCUCAACAUUGAUGUGGCAGUUGAACAAUCGCAAUAGGUAAGGGUUGUAAGGCACAACCCAUCUAUUAUCUAGCUCAUGAUUGCAAAUUUUUUCUUUCCACCCAUCUUCACGUCGCCUAUAAACUGGGUAGGAAUCCUUACCUUGUAUGGUGACCUCACUGAAGGGUCGUGGGUAUCGAUUCUUACAUGAAUCACGGCCCUUUGUGCAUGGGCAAUUACGAUUAAGCAUUCCGCAAGGCCCAUGCAUCAUAUGCUUGGUGACCAUCUUGUACAAUUCUGGGUACUUCUUCUUGUUUGGAAGCUCAGUUGAGAUAAGGAGGUCAUACUGCUCUGGAUACGUGAUCUUGUACUUCCCUUGCAUGAUCAGCAAAAAAUGUGCAUGCGGUAGACCCCUCUUCUGGAACUCCACAACAUAUACAUGGGCCCGAACCUUCCCAAGAAUAUCCUUUUUCAACAACCUCCUCUUCAACUCUUCAAGCUUCGCCUAAAAGACCCGCACAAAAAAAAUCUAACCGAUCCUGUGGUGUCUGGCCAGGGUAGAGAUUACUCUUGAUCUCAUCCCAGUUUGGAUUACAAGACAUAGUUAGGAAGAUGUUCGGUUUCCCAAACUUGUGCACCAGAGCCAUAUGUUGGGUAUUCUUAACAUCAUUACUAAAAGUAGACAGUUUUCUAAUUCUAGUAACGGUGCCAAAAAUGCCAACCCUAUCCCUCAUACCACUUAAGUCAAGUUGUCAUCCCCAGCAUGACAUGAGAGAUGCGAUAUUGAAAUAUGCAAUUGCUCUUCUAAAUAAAUAAUGAAUGGGAUCUGCAAGCGCACAGAUUAAUACCGAUGUAGCAUUUUAACCGGGAAGUAUUCCAGGUAUCGUUAUUUAUAUUUUUACGACUAGGAAGGGAUUACCAAUCAUCAAUAUUGAUUACAGAAUAGAAUAUGAGAUUGAGCAUCUAUCAUUGCAUGUAUAAUUGAGAACAUUCAUCUAACUCUUCAUACAGGGAUAAAUGUCACAUAAAAGAUAUAUGAAAUAAUGAAUAGUGACAAAGAUAAUUAAUCUGAUCAGCAUAACUAGCCACAUAUAAAUAUGAUAAGCACCUCAAUUAGAUACUCUAGAAAGUCAUUAGCAUGGAAUUAGAAUGAACUACAAGAAUAUUUCCUAAGUUAUUCUCAACUAUAUAGUCUAGCAUUAUCAUAAUUAGUGCAAGAAUACUUAGCAAUCAUUGUGAGACAAGACUACGCCCAUGCAUAGUGAUAUUAGCAAGGAAUAUGAGAAACAUAGCAAUCACUCCCCUGUAAUAAUAUUGCUCUGCCAGCCCAAUACACGAGAGGGGGACUAUAUAAGAAUCAAUGAAGCUGUCACUAUCACGAACUACCCCACGAUCUGGCAUAUUCGGUACAAUCGCAGAUAAAUACGAUAUAAGCAUCACGCCUACACAAUAUCUAUCAUUUACCCAUGGAUCCGAUGGACAAAUGCUAUACGAUCCUAAGCAUGUAUAUAGAUCCAAUCUAACUAAGCCAAGUACAUAACUAUGAUAAACUAAGAACAAUAUAAUCUUGAAUAUAAACAAGUAGAGCAAAGUCAUAAGCAAUAUAUUGAAGUAGAACAAAGUCAUAUUCAUAAUAUUAAAGAACAAAGAUAAUUAGAAGAACAAUUAGAAGCACAAUUAGAGAAUUACCAAGAAUUCUCCUAACAGAUCCGGAAACAAAUCAAAGAUUGACUUCUUCUAGUUCUAAUCCUAUGUAGCUAUGCUAAUCUAGAUGUCUAAUUGAUGUGGUGGCUCUAAUCUUGAUCAGAGGCUUCUUUUCCCUUGUGAACAAUGAAUUAGGGUUGAGAGGCUCUCUCCUCCAGGGGCCAGGGGGUCUGGUUUUAUAGUCCCUUCAAGUGAAUAUGGGCCGUUGGAUCAAACCAACAUAGAUUGAACGGUUAUCCUUGAUCCUUUAGGUCGGUGGAGAUCUCCUGCGAAACAGAGUCCUGAUUGGACUCAAAGAGGGGGCGGGCGCCCAAGGUAACUGGCCAGGCACCCAGUCCCUGGCCCCGUUCGGCCUCCGCUUCUUUCCCGUGGCUUCUGGUGUCUUCUAGAUGUAAGAUAAUUGCGCGGCACGUUAAUAUCUCUAUGUAAUCCCGAUGUGUGGGCCUUUCUUCCGUAUUUCCUAAUAACCCCCUGCAGAAAUAGACAAACACCAAAACUCGUGGAAUUCUAUCAGAUAAAACCCUAAGUCUAGAUGUUGAUUUUAUUUGGAUCCUUUUCUUUGUUUAUUUGAUAAUUAAAUUUGAUACUUAAGUACCGUCAACAAACUCCCCCAAGCUUACCUCUUGCUCGUCCCUGAGCAAGGAUAGACUCAGCGAUGGAUUAGAAGUUGUUGCAAAAUCUUUAAAAAUUGACGGUACAUAUGCUUUUAAAUAAGAUCUUAUGUCUGAGUUAGAGUAAACUGUCAAGACUUAAAACUUACUUACUUUACCUUUCACCAUGGGACUUGUAACCGUCACUUCUGUCUUGAGUGGUUAAAAGAUAGAACAGUCUAGUCAAGUGCCAUGUCUCUUAUUCUUGAUCAGCUAUAGCUCUAGAGUUUUUGUAGAUUUUCAAAUAAAACUCAGAGAUUCCUUGUAUGACUCUCUCAAUAUCUCUCUUUUGUGGUAUUUCUGGAUCCUUACCAAGGCAGUGAUGGUAUAUGCCUUCUCUCAAUAUAUGUGGUAUUUGUGGUAUAAGGCAUAGUGACAUUGCCUUCUCUCUCACCCUACUCUAAUAAGUCAAAUCAAUAAGUCAAAUCAAGAUGUGCAUGUGUGGCGAAUGAAUGGUAUAUGGCGAUGAUGGUGAUAACAAUGGUGAAAGUCUAAUUCUACUUUUGCUCUUUGAGGGGAUACAUACCUUCAUUGCUUUCUGAAACUUUAUGAGGAGAAUGAGAUGCUCUGUCUCUUUUUCUUUUCUCUCAGGUGUGUAUCUUGUACCCCUAAUUCUACUGUCGGACACUUGUCCAUUUUUACCUCUCGUCUUACUUUUUCUUUUAUUUCGAGGUUCCGGGCACUUGCCCCUUUUUAUUUCCUCGUAUCUUUUUUUAGAGCACUCAUCUCUUGAGAUAAUAUAGCAAGUGGAAGUAACAAGAUAACUUGUUCAUUUAUUUCACAAAGGAAAAACAGAAAUAUUUUUAGCUAUUCUCUCCCAUAUUAGGAGUAGAAUAUUUUUUUGGAUGGUUCUGGAGAUGGAAAUGGGUGGAUAUAUGUGGAUGGUACUUCUUGAGUAGAAGUAGCAUAUGUGAGUGAACGUGCAAGUGAAAUCUUGAUUUAACCACAUGACAAGCUCCUAAGGGUCUACACAGCUUGACCACACUCAACGCUCAUAAGUAGUAAAAAGUAAAUGUAUGACUCAAAGUCUAGCAAGCAUGUAUAUAUGGCUGUGGUAGUAAUUUAAACUCUCAUCAUACAGGAACUCAGCAUGCAAUAUUUUAAAGAUUUUAAAAGAUAAAAUUCUCCAGAAUUCUAGCAUUUCCAGGAAUAGAUAAACAGCAGCUCAACCUUCCCAUAUAGUAUUCGUUAACAACUUAGACUUCAGAUCAAGUUUUCAUCCCACAAGUUUAGGUCUAGAGCAAGCUUUAAAUUAUAACAGUUAUAUCUGAACUUGAGAGAGAACUUAAAAUGUGCAAAUUAGGCAGAGCAACUAUUUAUCAUAUCCAUGCUAGAGUUUUAUUUAGAUACAGAUUAGCAUAGCCACUUUAUUUAUUUAUUAAACACUCUAAGCAAAAGACAUAUAUAUAAGCAUAAAAUCUUUAUUUGGUUUUUUAUUGUUAUAUUUUAUUAUAAUUUAAGUAUAAAGAUAGAUAGAUAGAAAUACUUAUCGCGAUAAAUAGGGGUGCUCUCCCCCAAGCUGAAUUUUAACAUAAUUUCUCUUGAUGUAGCUAGCAGGUGGCAGAGGUGUAUUUGAAAGUCAGCAGCAUUCUGACAGCUAUUAGAAUGUCCUCCGUCUGCUAGUCUUCUUGAUUCUUAAAUUCUGUGGAGCUCAAAUAGACAACAUAGCUUGUGGAACUAAUUAAGUGUUAGCAUAAAUAUCUAGCCUUUAUCAUGUUGAGACUCCUUAAUAAUUAUUACUCUCUAUUUUUAUAUUUUCAUUUUUAUAAAGCAGAAAAAUAUUUAUUUUAUUUUUAUGCCACCACAGUGAAUGUACUUAUGGGUUUUAUGCCACAUGUAUGCUCACAUGGGGCUUACAUUUUUUUCAUUUUUAUUUUCUUUUUAGGAUAGUAUGAACAUGAUUAACUAAGCAAACUAUUUGAAAUAACUGAAAGGGAAAGGAUAACUACAAAGUUUACCUCUUGGCAUGGCGUUCGGUGUUUUUAAGUCCUCCGAACGGGACUCUCCUCUUUCUCAAUUGUCGUGGGAUUCGUUGGGUGGCGUAGUCGGUACUUCCGGCGGCGCCUCCUCUUCAUGUAUAGUUAUGUUCUCUUUCCAUACCUGACUCGGUGCUUCGGUCUCCUCUGGAUAAUUGUUCAAACUCUACGUCUUCUGACCUUACAACUUCUCCUUCAUAGUCUGCCCAUCCGUUCUUGAUGAUUUACCUCCUCUGGUUGCGGUUGAGGCGUUUUCUUACCUUCUUAGAUUCUUCAAAGAUGUAGUUAGGGUCAGUAAAAUAACGGCGUACCUUCUCUGAGGGGAAGUGCAUAUGGACUUCUCCAGUUCCAAUGUAGAUAAUUGCUUUAACGGUGCUGAGGAACGGUGUUCCAAGGAUGAUGGGUGGAUCAUACUCAUCUUCUCCCAUGUCAACAACCUGAAAGUCUGUGUAGACAAAAUGAUCGUCUAUUUUGACUGGGACAUCAGUUACUGUUCCUUUAACUUCUCGAAACGUCUGAUCUGCCAUCUGGAGCUGAAUGUAUGUUGGUUAUAGGGGCAUUGUUCCGAACAAGAGCCGAUAGGUGACUACGGCCAUUAUGUUGACGCCCGAUCCGGUGUCGCAAGUCGUCUUGUAGAAGUUGUAUCCAUUUAUGGAGCAAUAGAUGCUUGGCAUUCCUGGGUCGUCCUUCUUGGUCAAAAAUGGUGACUUAAGUUGAUGAUCUUGACCUCCAUAAACUGCAGUGACCAUCUUAGCUGACUCGGUCCACACUUGCUUGUUCCUGUUCCUCCUGUUGGUCCUCUUCCUUGAUUCACGUCUGGAUUGAUCUGGGAUUUGUGUAGUCUUGUUCCUGAAGAAAAAUGUCUCCUUCCUCCCUUUGAUGUAGAAACUGAUCUUGGCAGCACUAGCGUAGAUGACAGCUCCUGAGGUGUUUAAGAAUGGCCUCCCUAAGAUGAUGGGUGCUCUCUCAUCAUUACCGGUCUCUACCACUACGAAGUCUGCUGGGGCGUACAAGGUACCAACUCGGACACAAAGGUUCUUCAAUAUUCCUUUUGGAAAACUUAUCGUCUGAUCUGCAAACUGCAAACACAUGGUUGUUUCUAGUAAAGGAUAUGUAAAUAAUUUUUCAUAGAGUACCCUAGGUAUAAUGUUGACGCUAGAGCCAAAGUCGCAGAGUGCUUCUGGGACGUCCGCCAUGCCGAUGGAGAUCGGGAUGACGGGGCGUCCUGGAUCGCCUCUCUUGACCGGCAGAAAGUCAGUAGUGAAUUCAGUGACGGGGUUACUCCAAUUACCUGCAUCAAACAUGUCUACAAGAUUUGCAGAUUCUAAUCCUGAGUAGUUAGGCCUCUGUUGAUUCCAACCUUGAUUUUGUUGAGGACGGUUGUAGUGGUUGUUGUUGUUGUUGUUGAUGUAGUUCACAUCCUCAAGCAUCUCAGGGCAGUGAUUGCCUGAGUGUCCAGUGUCUCCACACUCCUCACAAGUCAUGUUAGAGUCAUAGAUGUGCAUAACUUCUUUCUUAUCUCCAGCUCUAUCAUCGAGCUUCUUCAUGAGCAGGUCUAGCUUUGCAGACAGCAUGUCUACCUCCUUGAGCUGAUGCAUACCUCCACCUUUCUUGUGUGUCUGGGUCCUUUCCUCAUUCCAGCCAUGGUUGGACGCCAUCUUCUCCACAAGAGCUGUGGCUUGUGAUGUGGUAAGUGAUAAGAAUGCUCCUCCAGCUGCAGCAUCCAUGGUCUCUCGAGCACUGUUGCCGAGCCGAUGAUAAAACGUCUGCAUCAAUAGCCAACUCUCCAUUCCAUGAUGGGGACAUUUUAGGAUGUAGUCUUGAAAGCGCUCCCAUGCUUCUGGAACAGAUUCAUCAUUUUGUUGCUGAAAACUUGUAAUCUUCCCACGGAGAGCAUUGGUCUUGCCCAUGGGAAAGAACUUAGCCAGAAAGUUUGUUGAGCAGAGUGCCCACGUAGUAUUCUUCUCCUUUGUAGCGUAGAACCACUGCUUCGCUCUUCCUAACAGUGAUAAUGGGAAUAGGUGAAGUGCUAUAGCAUCUCUGGGGACUCUUGAUAUGGUAAAUGUGUUGCAAAUCUCCAGGAAGUGUUGGAGAUGAGCACUAGCAUCUUCAUGUGCCUUUCCCACAGAACUGGUUGGAUUGCACCAUGUUGAUAAGUCCAGGCUUGAGCUCAAAGUUGCCAUCGAUCUCUACAGCAGGUCCAGUGUGGAUGUUGUCCGUAGUGGGAGCUGAGAACUCACGGAUCGAUUUGUUCGCCAUGGCUUCGAACUCUGAAGACAAGUUCUGGUGAUCUUCUUGAUUGGAUGAAGCUUCUUGCUGAAGUGUUGAUGAUCUCUUCUUGAGCUUGGCUCUAGUUUUUCUAAAUAACGCUUCGGGAUUGUCAACAAAAUUUCCUGGAAGAUGUCUUCUAUUCAUACAUUCCCCUGCAUAAGAUAAAAUAGAAAAAUAUCAGGGUAAAACUGUAUGAGAGAAUAGAUAAGCUCAAUAAUAUUAGUGAUGCGAAUGAUAACUCAAAAUCCUUUAUUCAUUCCUGAUUAGUAAUCAACCUUCCUCGGCAACGGCGCCAAAAAUGCUUGUUGGGUAUUCUUAACAUCAUUACCAAAAGUAGACAGUUUUCUAAUUCUAGUAACGGUGCCAAAAAUGCCAAACCUAUCCCUCAUACCACUUAUGCCAAGUUGUCAUCCCCAGCAUGACAUGAGAGACGCGGUAUUGAAAUAUGCAAUUGCUCUUCUAAAUAAAUAAUGAAUGGGAUCUGCAAGCGCACAGAUUAAUACCGUUGUAGCAUUUUAACCGGGAAGUAUUCCAGGUAUCGUUAUUUAUAUUUUUACCACUGGGAAGGGAUUAGCAAUCAUCAAUAUUGAUUACAGAAUAGAAUAUGAGAUUGAGCAUCUAUCAUUGCAUGUAUAAUUGAGAACAUUCAUCUAACUCUUCAUACAGGGAUAAAUGUCACAUAAAAGAUAUAUUAAAUAAUGAAUAGUGACAAAGAUAAUUAAUCUGAUCAGCAUAACUAGCCACAUAUAAAUAUGAUAAGCACCUCAAUUAGAUACUUUAGAAAGUCAUUAGCAUGGAAUUAGAACGAACUACACGAAUAUUUCCUAAGUUAUUCUCAACUAUAUAGUCUAGCAUUAUCAUAAUUAGUGCAAGAAUACUUAGCAAUCAUUGUGAGACAAGACUACGCCCAUGCAUAGUGAUAUUAGCAAGGAAUAUGAGAAACAUAGCAAUCACUCCCCUGUAAUAAUAUUGCUCUGCCAGCCCAAUACACGAGAGGGGGACUAUAUAAGAAUCAAUGAAGCUGUCACUAUCACGAACAGUAGGUGAUUUAUGACUUAGCCUAUAAUUCUUAAUCUAAGGAGGCACAAACAAUCUAGAAACUAUUGAUGAUGAGGAAAUACUAAUGUACUCUGGUUCGAAUAACCGAUAAACUUUGUAUAGUAUCGUCUUAUCGGGCAAGUAACCCGAAUAGGGGAAGAAUCAGAGUAAUCCCCUAUCAGGCACCUAUAAACCUAUCAAUCCUAUUAACUUGAAGUGGACUACAGAGGAAUCAACACGGUUAUAAAGUCACCUAUGUGAACUACCACUGUCCGGCUGAUCAGGGGACAUUCACAAGCAACCAUAGCCCAAACACCACGUCUACGUUAUGAAUCACUACUCUGACCUAAGAGCUACCCAAAUCAUAGUACUCAAUGUAAUAUGAGUUGCAAACCAAAGAAUGAAUACAAACAACUUGCUUACUUGAAUGAGAAGGGUAAAUACAAAAGUACCUCAGAACGUGGUUUCGGGCGAGGGAGCCGAAUCCCGAAGAAUACAGCUCCUGAGGAAGCUUCGACUUGCUGGGACUCCUCCGAAUCUCUACUUCUCUACUCUAUCUUUCUCUAAUCUCUAUCUGGAUUGCUAACCUAGAUCUAGUGGAUCUCUAUCUAAUGCUCUGGCUCUUCAUCUCUUGAUCUGGUCUCCUCCAGGGAGGGUCUUGCCUUCUAUUUAUAGCCUGGUGGGGUGAACGCACACCGUUGGAUCAAACCGACUUGACAAGCGGUCGAGAUGGCACCUCGGAAGCGGUGGAGGAAGCUUCUAGAAGGGGGGUGUUGACGGUCCUUAAGUAUCAAAUUUAAUUAUCAAAUAAAUAAAGAAAAGGAUCCAAAUGAAAUCAAGAUCUAGACUUAGGGUUUUAUCUGACAGAAUUCCACGAGUUUUGGUGUUUGUCUAUUUCUGCAGGGGGUUAUCAGGAAAUAUGGAAGAAAGGCCCAAUGUCAGGAUUACGUAAAGAUAUUAACGUGCUGCGCAAUUAUCUUACAUCUAGAAGACUCCAGAAGCAACGAGACCAAAGCGGAGGCGAAACGGGGCCAGACCCUGGGCGGCCGCCCAGUUGGUCAGGGCGCCCGCCCACCCCCUGUGUCCAAUCAGGACUCUGCUUUGUGGGAGAUCUCCACCGACCUAAAGGAUGAAUCUAAACCAUACAAUCUAUGUCGGUUUGAUCCAAGGGCCCAUAUUCACUUGAAGGGACUAUAAAACCAGACCCCCUGGCCCCUGGAGGAGAGAGCCUCUCAACCCUAAUUCAUUGUUCCAUCAAGGGAGAAGAAGCCUCUGAUCAAGAUUAGAGCCACCACAUCAAUUAGAUAUCUAGAUUAGCAUAGCUACAUAGGAUUAGAACUAGAAGGAGUCAAUCUUCGAUUGGUUUCCGGAUCUGUCAAGAGGAUUCUUGGUAAUUCUCUAAUUGUGCUUCUAAUUACUUUCUAAUUAUCUUUGUUCUUCAAUAUUAUGAAUAUGACUUUGUUCUACUUCAAUAUAUUGCUUAUGACUUUGCUCUACUUGCUUAUAUUCAAGAUUAUAUUGUUCUUAGUUUAUCAUAGUUAUGUACUUGGCUUAGUUAGAUACGAUCUAUAUACAUGCUUACGAUCGUAUAGCGUUUAUCCAUCGGAUCCAUGGGUAAAUGAUAGAUAUUGCGUAGGCGUGGUGCUUAUACCGUAUUUAUCUGCGAUUGUACCCAAUAUGCCAGAUCGUGGGGUAGUUCGUGAUAGUGACAGCUUCAUUGAUUCUUAUAUAGUCCCCCUCUUGUGUAUUGGGCUGGCAGAGCAACAUUAUUACAGGGGAGUGAUUGCUAUGUUUCUCAUAUUCCUUGCUAAUAUCACUAUGCAUGGGCGUAGUCUUGUCUCGCAAUGAUUGCUAAGUAUGCUUGCACUAACUAUGAUAUGCUAGACUAUAUAGUUAAGAAUAACUUAGGGAAUAUUCUUGUAGUUCGUUCUAAUACCAUGCUAAUGACUUUCUAGAGUAUCUAAUUGAGGUGCUUAUCAUAUUUAUUAUGUGGCUAGAUCAGAUUAGUUAUCCUUGUCACUAUUAUUAUUUCAUAUAUCUUUUAUGUGACACUUAUCCCUGUAUGAAGAGUUAGAUAUAAUGUUCUCAAUUAUACAUGCAAUGAUAGAUGCUCAAUCUCAUAUUCUAUUCUGUAAUCAUUAGUGAUGAUUUCUAAUCCCUUCCCAGUGGUAAAAAUAUAAAUAACGAUACCUGGAAUACUUCCCGGUUAAAAUGCUGCAUCGGUAUUAAUCUGUGCGCUUGCAGAUCCCAUUCAUUAUUUAUUUAGAAGAGCAAUUGCAUAUUUCAAUACCGCGUCUCUCAUAUCAUGUUGGGGAUGACAACUUGGCUUAAGUGGUGUGAGGGAUAGGUUUGGCAUUUUUGGCACCGUUACUAGAUUUAGAGAACUGAGUCUACUUUUAGUAAUGAUGUUAAGAAUACCCAACAGGGGGAGCAAACACUAACCCUAGGGGGCUGGCCGAUGCUAUGGUGGGGCCGGCCGGUCCCACCUGGUGGCUGCUGGCUCCCCCCUCGCGUCGGGUAUCUUCUAGAGUGUUCAUGAAUCCUCGUGUGUCAUCCUUUCGUCGCGGCUAAGUUUCAUGACCGAUUAGCACUUAAGUCCUUCUUUUCAACACUUUCUGGAAUAAUCCCUGGAAAACACAGAAUAUUCAAAACUCGUGGAAAUUGUCAGUGAUAACCCUAUUCUAAUGGAUAUUCAUUUCUGGUGGAGAAAUAAAUGCUAAUAAAUUUUAUGAGUUAACGAUUGUCAAUAGUUGUGUUGAGAUGAGUUGAGGGGGGUCCCUUGCCCCACCUUAUAUAGUCUGGAGGACAAGGUUACAAAUCUAGAAACUAAUCCUAGUCGGUUACAAUUGUCAUAGACAGUCAUAUAUUAAUUCCUAUUCUAUCUGACAUGUAUCUUGCUUGAUCUUCAUGUCUUCCCUCUUUGUGCAGAACUCUAGACAAGUUGAUCAAGCCAUGAACUGUCUCGUCAUGGGCCAAUCCUUUUGGCCCAAGCCUAGCCGUAAGGCUAUAAUGGUUUAUACCCCCCACAGCUAGUCCCCGAGCACUAUGUAUUGUGAAGUGACACGCUGUCUUGAGAUUCUUCGACCAGUGAGGCUUGAUGUCUCCGACCAGCAAGAAAGUUGCAAUAGCAGUUGCGAUGGUAUUUCAUCCAGCUCAGAAGAUAGUCGACCACCAUUAACACCAAAGAAGCAGGUUGUCCAAAUAAUGCAUGGUGCUCUUAAUAAAAAUGAUUUCUUUACUAAUGAAGUGUGCCCACUUGACUUUUCUAAAAACUAUAGGUUCUGGAAAAGCAAGCAUAUUCACCGUAAGUUGAAGUGUGCCCACUGUUGACGGUCCUUAAUGCUCACAUUUAACCAUCAACUAAUCAUAGAAAAGGAUCCAAAUGCAACCAACACCUAGACUUAGGGUUUUAUCUGACAAAAUUCCACAAGUUUUGGUGUUUGUCUAUUUCUGCAGGGGGUUAUCAGGAAAUACGGAAGAAAGGCCCACACGUCGAGUUUACAUAGAGAUAUUAACGUGCCGCACAAUUAUCUACCAUCUAGAAGAGUCCAGAAGCCACGGGAGCGAACGGGAGACGUAACGGAGCCGGGCACUGGGCGCCCGCCCUCCCUUACUGGGCGCCCGCCCUCCCCCCUGGACCAAACAGAGUCCAAUUCGGGGACAAUGCUCCACCGACCUAAUACUUCAAGGAAAACCACACGAUCAAUGUCGGUUUGAUCCGACGGCCCAGAUUCACUUGAAGGGACUAUAAAACCAGACCCCCCUGGCCCCUGGAGAUCAUACCUCUUCUGCAGAAUCAAAGCUAGGGUUUCAAUUCUUCAUCCAAGUAGAGAGGAUCCCUCUAGUUCUUCUAGUUCUACCUCUAGUUCAUCUAGAUCUAGUUCUAGUUCAUCUAGUUCUAGUUCUAGUUCCUCUAGUUCUAGUUCUAGUUAGUUCUAGUUGUAAUCUAGAAAAUAGGGAGAGAGAAGAGGAGAGCGGAGGAGGAGCCAUAUCUGUCGGAUCUUCCUCAACAUUAUACUUUUGCAGCAUCUGGUUCGUUCUCCAGGUUCUUCAAUUCAUAAUUCCUGAGUUCUUUAAUUACUUUUAUUUACAUUCAAGUUAUUUAUUGGAUUCCCACUUGCAUCAAGUGCUCUAGUCUUUAUAAUGCUAGAGUAGUAAUUAAUAGAUUAGACGUGGUGUUUAGUCUUGCGAUUACCUGCAAUUGCACCCAAUCCUGCGGAUUGUUGUGGUAGCCUUAGGGUAGUGACAGCCCUAACGGUCGACGUAUUCCACCUCGUUCGGAUCGGUGUUUGUAGGACUGUAGUCAGACCUUCCUAGCCCCCUUCUCAUCUCUUUCUGUGGUUAGUGCUCUGAUGUCCCGAAAUAGAUAACCUUGAAGUAAUUCUUGAUUCUUAGAUCAACUAGAGAACUCUCAGGAAACUUCCUCUCUUCCCACCAAAAAUAAUUAUAUAGUUAUCCUUGGGCAAUCUUGAAUCUUAAUUAUUACACUCACGUUCCCUGAGGAAAAUCGAUACUCUAGAAUACUCCUGGGUGAAGGCUACAUCGGUAUCCGUGCGCUUGCGGAUUUUUCUGUUUGCGUUUAAAAUACCCAACAAGCUUUCUGGCGCCGUUGCCGGGGAACGGUAGCUGUGCUAGUUUCGAACCAAGUCGUCCGUGUAUCCUUUUUCUUUUCCUUUUUUACCACACUCACCUUAUCACUUUCACCAUACCACAUGGAUUUCACUCUAAGCAUUAAUAAGCAUGGAAUUUAUUUCAUAGCCACUUCAUUUACUCCAUGCUCAUAUGCAACAUCUUCACAAUCCAUUGGUCUCUCCAACAUCACCACAUUCGAGAUCUCCAACCCCCUCAUCCUUUCUAUGUAUAAAAACUUUAAAAGGGCGGUUGUCGAUGCAUAUGUCUAUAAUAAAUAUUGCAGAUCUCGUUGAGUUGAUCUUGAUAUAGGUCAGCGUUGGAGGGGAAACCACUUCGCUGACAUAAAUUAAUGGUUUCCCAAGGACAAGCUUCGUGUCCUAAAAUAAAGCACUGAUCAGAUCGUGACAUGAGCUUUUAAUUAUUUGCAACAUUAACUUGUGUAUUGAGCAUACAAGGAUAAUUGUAAAAAUAUUCCUUCGGGUAUUCUAGUCACUAACCUUUCCAGGAUUGGAGCAAGAAGAUCGGAUGAAUGACAAGCACAAGGUAUGUCCAACCAAUCAUCAUACAACAUUGAAUUAAAUUCAUCCAAACUUGAAUUUUGCAAAAUUCAAGCUUGGGGGAGUACUUUAUAUAAAAACAUCAUUUGCCAUGUUGCUAUGUUGGUUGUCCCUACCUUUGAGACAUGCUCAAUUUGUUAAAUAGUAAUCACACUACUUCAUCUCCACUUGAGUAGAUCUCUAUAAAAGCCAUCACGCUACCUUUGUUUAUCCUAGUAAGUGUUAGUUUGGAAGUACUGUACAUACUUCUAUUGGUUUUUAAAUUAAGCAUGGUGCUUAGGUUAAACAACCUUCCGUAAUCUAAUUAGACAUGGAGUCUAGUUUGGUUAUUGAACUAAAAACUACUUGUGUAGACAUUGGUAUAUUUUGUUGGACUAACUCCUGCAGGAAAACUUUCAAUAUCGACCUGGGAAGUCCUGAGAUAAACUCACAUUGGAGAUAAAGAGAGACACACCUGAAGUUUAACAAUUUACACAAGGAAGGCAUAGCUCACAAGAGAUGAUCCAUGGAGGUGCCACAAACAUGAUGCACAAUCGCUAAGAGAGGAAAGCUUUCACAAGGUGAUACUGUACCAUCACUCUUCCACUAAGGUAACAUCUUAAGGUACUUGACUAUCACUUUUAUAAGCUUCUCCUUAGUUCUAGCGUUCACAUGAAUAAAAGAGACAAACAUGUAUGAUUUACAACUCUAGAUUAACCAACCCAAUCGAUUCAACAUGUUUAGUCCUUCCACCUUUGUGAUCCCACACUCUUAAUCAUAUGAACUAAAAUGUUGCACAUUCAAUCUCUGGAAGAUAUAAACAAAACAUAAAUAUAGAUAGAUUAUCUUUCCAUUAGGUUGAGCAAUUUGAUCUGACAAAUGUUUUAAAUGUUAUACUCAUGAUCUUAUUAUCCAUCAACUUUGUCUUGCUCACUAUGCUUAAGGUUAGAGAAGAAUAAAUACACUUUUGGUUCUGUUGGUGUUUUCCACCAACAGGGCCCAUGCACUUGAUCUCUGCCUUGUCUUUAUGAGCAGGUACACUUUGAGCAAAAUAUGAAGGACUUUUACAACUCCCAGACUCCACCAAAGUGAAGAACCUCGAUCUAUGAGCACAAACACGCUGGAGAUACUGGACACUCAUGCAAACACUGCCCUGAGAUGCUUGAGGAUGUAACUACUGGAGUAACCUCAUUGUGGAAGUAAUUACUGACCUUCUGCCGGUCAAAAGAGACAAUCUAGGACGCCCCGUCAUCCCAAUCUCCAUCGGCAUGGUGGACUUCCUAGAAGCACUCUGCGACUUUGGCUCCAGCGUCAACAUUAUACCCAGGGGAAGCCAUUCCUGAACACCUCGGGAGCUGUCAUCUACGCUAGUGCUGCCAAGAUCAGUUUCUACAUCAAGGGGAAGAAGGAGACGUUUUCCUUCAAGAACAAGACUACACAAAUCGCAGAGCAAUCCCGACAUGAACCAAGGAAGAGGACCAACAGGAGGAACAGGAACAAACAAAUGUGUACCGAGUCAGCUAAGAUGGUCACUGCAGUUCAAGGAGGACAAGAUCAUCUAUUUAAGUCACCAUUCCUGACCAAAAAGGACGACCCAGGCAUGCCAAGCAUCCAGUGCUCCAUUAAUGGAUACAACUUCCAGAAGAUGCUUUGCGACACCGGGUCAGGCGUCAACAUAAUGGCCGCAGUCACCUAUCAACUCCUGUUCGGAACCAUGCCCCUAAAACCGACAUACAUUCUGCUCCAGAUGCAGAUCAGACAUUCUGAAAGAUUGAAGGUUAUUGACUUGGGAGAAGACGAGUACGAUCCACCCAUCAUCCUUGGAAGACCGUUCUUUAGCACCAUUAAAGCAAUCAUAUACAUUGGAACCAGAGAAGUCCACAUGCACUUCCACUCAAAGAAGUUACGCCACUGUUUUACUGACCCUAACUAUAUAGUUGAAGACUCUAAGCAGGUCAGGACAAGAAGAAGACGACGCAACAGCAACCAGAGGAGGCAAAUCAUCAAGGACGGAUGGGUAGACUAUGAAGGAGAAGUUGUAAGGUCUGAAGACAUACAACUUGAACAGAACUGUCCUGAGGAGACCGUAGCACCGAGUCAGGUGUGGAAAGAGAAGAUAGUUAUACACGAAGAGGAAGCACCGUCGGAACCACCGACUACGCCAUCCAGCAAAUCCCAGGAUGACUGAGAAAACGGAGAGUCCCGUUCGGAGGACUUAAAAACACCGAACGCCUUGCCAAGAGGUAACUUGGUAGUUAUCUUUUUUCUUUCAAUUAUUUAAAAUAGUUUGCUUAGUUAAUCAGGUUCACAUCAUCUUGAAAAGAAAAUAAAAGUGUUAAAAAUAGUAAGCCCCAUGUGAGUAUGCUCAUGGCAUAAAACCCAUAAGUACAUCCACUGUGGUGGCGUAAAAAUGAAAUAAGUAUAUUCCUGUCCUAUAAAAAAUUAAAUUAUAAAAAUAAAUUUAUGAUCCUACUAAAGAGAGUAAUAUUUAUUGAGGAGGCUCAACAUGAUAAAGGCUAGAUAUUUAUGCUAACACUUAACUAGUUCCACAAAGCUUUGUUGUCUAUUUGCGCUCCACAGAAUUCAAGGAUCAAAGAAGACUAGCAGACGGAGGACAUCCUAAUCGCUGUUAGGGUGCUGCUGACAUUCAAAUACACCUCCACCACUUGCUAGCUACAUUAGAAGAAAUUACGUCAAAAUCCAGCUUGGGGGAGAGCACCCCCAUUUAUCCAGCUAAGUAUUCUACUCACGUUUAUACUUUACUCUAAUAAUAAAAUGAUGCAUAAUCAUAGAAACCCAAAUAAAGAUUUUGUGCUUAUAUAUAUCUUUGCUUAGUUUGCUAAAUAAAUAAAUAAAUAAAGUCUGCUACGAACCAUCAUGAUAAGCUCUCACAUGGAAAUGAUGAAUAGUUGCUCUGCCAUGACUAGUUCUCAAAAUUGAAAUCUCUCUCAAGUUUAGGCCUAACUGUUAUUAAUUAAGAUUUGUUCUAAACCUGAACUUGUGGGAAGAGUACUUGAUCUGAAGUCUAAGUCGUUAACGGAUAUGAUAUGGGAAGGUUGAGCUGCUGUUUAUCUAUUCCUAGAGAUGCUAGAAUUCUGAAGAAUUUUAUCUUUGAAAAUCUUUAAAAUGUUGCAUGAUGAGUUCCUGUAUGAUGAGAGUUUUAAUUCCUACCACAGCCAUAUAUACAUGCUUGCUAGACUGUGAGCCACACAUUUACUUUACUGCUUAUGAGCAUUGAGUAUGGUCAAGCUGUGUAGACCCUUAGGAGCUUGUCAUGUGGUUAAAUCAAGAUCCACUUGCACGUUCACUCAUACAUUCUGCUUCUACUCCGGAAGUACGCAUCCACAUAUAUCCACCCAUUUCCAUCUCCAGAACCACUCAAAAAUAUUCUACUCCUAAUCUGGGAGAGAAUAACCAAAAACAUUUAUACUUUUCCCCUGCGGAAUAAAUGCUCAAGUUAUCUUGGUUACUACCACUUGCUACAUUAUUUCAAGAGAUGAGUGCUCUAAAAAAAGAAGAAGAAAAAAAGAUACGAGGAAAUAAAAAGGGGCAAGUGCCCGGAACCUCGAAAGAAAAAAAAGUGAGACGAGAGAUAAAAAAUGGACAAGUGUCCGAUAGUAGAAUUAGGGGUACAAGAUACCCACCUGAGAGAAAAGAAUGAAAAAGAAAAUAUAGAGCAUCUCAUUCUCCUCAAAAAGUUUCAAAAGAGCAAGAAAGGUAUGUAUCCCCUCAAAAGAGCACAAGUAGAAUUAGACUUUCACCAUUGUUAUCACCAUCAUUACCAUACACCAUUCAUUCGCCACACAUGCACAUCUUGAUUUGACUUAUUGACUUGUUCUUCUGGAUCCAUUGUUUGACUAUGCAAUAAAUGUCUUGUAAGUAUGUAUUAGCUGUCUCACACCUAUGAGCUCCAGAUAUCAAAACCUUAUUAGAGUAGGGUGAGAGAGAAGGCAAUGCCACUAUGCCUCAUACCAAAAAUACCACAUACUUUGAGAGAAGGCAUACACCAUUACUGCCUUGGUAAGGAUCUAGAAAUACCACAAAAGAGAGACUAGAGAGAGUCAUACAAGGAAUCUCUGAGUUUUAUUUGAAAAUUUCUAAAAACUCCAGAGCUAUAGUUAAUCGAAGAACAAGAGAAAUGGCGCUUGACUAGACCGUUCUAUCUUUUAACUGCUCAAGACACAAGUGACGGUUACAAGUCCCAUGGUGGAAGGUAAAAUGAGUAAGUUUAAAUCUUAACAGUUUACCCUAACCCAGAGAUGAGAUCUUGUUUGAACGCAUGUGUAUCUUUAAGGCAUGAAACCACUGCAGAAACUCUUGAGUCCAUCUUUGCUCAGGGACGAGCAAAGGUUAAGCUUGGGGGAGCUUGUUGACGGUCCUUAAUGCUCACAUUUAACCAUCGACUAAUCAUAGAAAAGGAUCCAAAUGCAACCAACACCUAGACUUAGGGUUUUAUCUGACAGAAUUCCACAAGUUUUGGUGUUUGUCUAUUUCUGCAGAGGGUUAUCAGGAAAUACGGAAGAAAGGCCCACACGUCGGGUUUACAUAGAGAUAUUAACGUGCCGCACAAUUAUCUACCAUCUAGAAGAGUCCAGAAGCCACGGGAGCGAACGGGAGACGUAACGGAGCCGGGCACUGGGCGCCCGCCCUCCCUUACUGGGCGCCCGCCCUCCCCCCUGGACCAAACAGAGUCCAAUUCGGGGACAAUGCUCCACCGACCUAAUACUUCAAGGAAAACCACACUAUCAAUGUCGGUUUGAUCCGACGGCCCAGAUUCACUUGAAGGGACUAUAAAACCAGACCCCCCUGGCCCCUGGAGAUCAUACCUCUUCUACAGAAUCAAAGCUAUGGUUUCAAUUCUUCAUCCAAGUAGAGAGGAUCCCUCUAGUUCUUCUAGUUCUACCUCUAGUUCAUCUAGAUCUAGUUCUAGUUCAUCUAGUUCUAGUUCUAGUUCCUCUAGUUCUAGUUCUAGUUAGUUCUAGUUGUAAUCUAGAAAAUAGAGAGAGAGAAGAGGAGAGCGGAGGAGGAGCCGGAUCUGUCGGAUCUUCCUCAACAUUAUACUUUUGCAGCAUCUGGUUCGUUCUUCAUCGUUCUCCAGGUUCUUCAAUUCAUAAUUCCUGAGUUCUUUAAUUAUUUUUAUUUACAUUCAAGUUAUUUAUUGGAUUCCCGCUUGCAUCAAGUGCUCUAGUCUUUAUAACGCUAGAGUAGUAAUUAAUAGAUUAGACGUGGUGUUUAGUCUUGCGAUUACCAGGAAUUACACCCAAUCCUGCGGAUUGUUGUGGUAGCCUUAGGGUAGUGACAGCCCUAACAGUCGACGUAUUCCACCUCGUUCGGAUCGGUGUUUGUAGGACCGUAGUCAGACCUUCCUAGCCCCCUUCUCAUCUCUUUCUAUGGUUAGUGCUCUGAUUUCCCAAAAUAGAUAACCUUGAAGUAAUUCUUGAUUCUUAGAUCAACUAGAGAACUCUCAGGAAACUUCCUCUCUUCCCACC